rnacentral:lncRNA from 1 species
CGACAAGGCUGCCCCUGUACAAACGGACAUCCCAAACAAACCAUGUCCAGACCAUUAUCCAAAACAUAUAUAUACAACCCACAUAAUGUCCACAGACCUCUAAGAGUACAUUAGUGAAACUCGACGGGACAGGGCCCCGCCAUACCCAUAGACGAGCAAAAGACUACACAAAAGUUAUGUACCAAAACGACUGGGCUCCGGAACAGUGGAGCUCUCCCAAUCAGCAGAGUAGAUAUCCUAGGCGGGAGGAUCACCGAACUGCGCGUCUACACCUGCGGGCAUGAAACGCAGCCCCCCGAGGAAAGGGGGGUCAGUACGGACAAUGUACUGAGUAUGUAAAGCAUAAGGUAAAGAUGACAGGAUACCAAUGUGGCAACUCGAAACAAAAUAUCGCUACACAUAUACUUUUUAAGUGAAAAUCAUGCAUAUAUUUAACAUUUAAGGUGCCCAGCUUCCCUAGUAAGGGGCUCGGCAAAAUAAUCAUCACGUCAUCUCCGUCAUCAUCAUCAUCAUAACCAUCCUCAUCACCAAUCAUAUAUAUAAUAUACAUACCCGGCCCUCUAGUGAGGAACUCGGUGACAUAUGCAAGAAACUCCGCACGAACAUUACCCGGCCCGGGACUCGGUGAAAUGAUAAAUGACUCUAUGCACGAGCAGAAUAUUAUGAGCAACCAUAUGCAAAUAAAAAUCAUUUCUUAUAACUCAAUAGAACAAUCAACGUGAACCAGCAAGGAGUAUUACCAAAGAUUAAUGUUUUAUCAAGAUUAUGAACCUUUAAUACGAUAUGGAAACGUAAAAUCUCAAUGACUCUAAGAAGCAUUACCAUAGAUACUAGAGAUCAUCAUAGCCUUAGACAUAGCCGAUAUAUAGAGGAAUAAUUGUGGAAGCAAGAAUAUACAUCACCUAGACGCUUUAGAGGUAAGUAUCAAAUCUGUCCGUUAUUCGCUUAUUUUUAAAAGUCAUGCCAAGCAAAGAAAGAAGGGACAGCGUUACAUACCAUAUAAUCGAGCCGCACGUCCAAUAUUUACUGCUCAAGCUAUUAAUCUAUAACAAGCAACAAUCGUGCCGCAAUAAGAUAAACAUCGUGCUUUACUUUCUUGUAAGCUAGCUAAUAAUCUAACGAAAAUUCGGCAGCACCUCCCCUAUUUUCCUUACUUCGUCCCAAUCCGACAACAAUCCAAAUUAUCCACAGCAAUACCAAUAACACAUAUAACCCAAAGAAUCAUAUUAAACAGCCCCCUCCCCAAAACAGUUCCAUCUCGGCAACUAUAUCAGCGAAGCAACGACACACCGAGUGAUAACUCGUUUUAUAAUUCGUAACACAUCUACCUUAUCGUAUUCAUCCUUUAGAGUAUAUACUCAUAAUCACAUUCAACAUAUACAUAAUGCCAAAACAGAAUUUUCCUUCAGUUUGCUUUAAUCAAAACAGCCCAAGCACCAACACGACACCACUAAUAAUCCGAUUAUGGUUUCCAUUCAUACUUAGUACAUUCAAUAACUAAAACAAACUUCCUAAGCUACUGGUCACGCCCCCUUCUUAAAAUUAAUGGAUAAUUAACAAGGGUAUUCUAAAGAAUUAACACACCAAACAAGGAGAUUACUAACAAAAUUAUUUGCAGCUGCUGGCCAAGAGUUGCAGGGUUGGUUUCUCCAUUUCCAUGGCUGCCUAAGACAAGUGGUGAAGAAGAAGAUGAUAUGCAACAAUGCAUUUCACCACUUUAUAUAGCAUGGAGUGGAUUUCUCCACCUCAUUUAAUAGUAUGAAGUGGAGGCAGCCCCCCUCUACACCUGUCCACUAAGGCCAGCCCACAAUCUGAUCCCUUUUUAAUUUUUUUUUGCCUUGAGUGGUGGGGCCCAUUGAAUUAAAUCAGUCCAAAUUAGCCACUAAUUAAUCCCUCACUUAAAUUUAAUGGCACUUACAUUAGCCAACUCAUACUUAAUAUCACAUUUGGAAAUAACAUCCUUGCCUAAUAUUUCUUUACGUCUUCUAGAUCACGAUGCGCACUACGUAUAUAAAAAAAAUACGAGGCAUAACAGGGUUCUCCUCUCUCUUGUUCCCUUUCCCAAGAGACCUCUAAGGUUUAGAAGAAUAUAUUCCAUAAACUAGGAUUGUUCCCCGUUGCACGUCCCUGUCACUAGAUUUCACUGAAUAAUAGUUUUUUUUUAUGUUUGCUGGUAGAAAACAAGGGAUGAAACGUGUUUUUGUGAUGAUUAUGUGUUUAUAUGUAUGUUUGGAAUUAUGUGACAUAUGUUGAUGUUUCCAAAAUUGUAACUACGUGAAUAUGUGUGUGUUGACUUGGCGAUUGGUCAUGGUUUAGGACUUGAAAUGACAUGACAGUUCUUUAUAUUUCAUGUGCACAUGUUGAUGUAAAUGUGAUGUUCAUAUACUUUGAAAUGUGGCUGAUUUGAGGGAUAAUAUCUUGUCUAAACAAAUCCGUGAAAAAACACCUAAAACAUUCUAAUUGCAGUACAAAAUUCCCCUAAGAACUAAGGUGUAAUUUGAUGAAAGGAUGCUGAACAAUUUAAAGAAAAUUUCCAGAUUUUAGUGAUGAAUUUCGGUCAGCAAAGAGUGUUCAAAAUGUUGAAAAAAAAUAAUAAAACAAGUGAGGUCAUGGAGGAUUGAACCAGUGACCUCACCAUGUUAAAAACCAUGAAAAUAAAGAAGUAAAAAGAAAUGUCGUGAAGGGGAUUUGAACCACGGUAUUGGCUGGAAAAUGUAACUUAAAAGAAAAAAAAUAAGAAAUGAGAGGAGUGGGAUUUGAACCCACCACCUCUCAAUAAUAUUUAAGAAAGAGCAAAAGAAAAAACAAAAUAAAAUGUGAGGUGUGGAAAUCAAACUCACGACCUCUAGGCAGUAAAGGAGAGUAAAUAAAAUGAAAGAAAUGAAAUGUGAGGCAUGAGAAUCGAACACACGACCUCUAGGCAGUGAAGGAGAGUCAAAACAAAUGAAAUAAAAGAGAUGUGAGGCAUGGAAAUCGAACCCACAACCUCCAAGGCAGAUUUAAGGAGAAAAAUUAAAAGAAACUAAAGAGGGUCUGUGGGGGUUCGAACCCACAACCCCUCGGCCAAAGUAGAGAAAUUUAGAGACAAUAAAAAUAAAAAGUAAAUGAGGUUGUGGGGGUUCGAUCCCACAUCAUCUUAGUUUUAUUAAACAAAAAAUGAGGACAGAAAUUACAGGGAAAAUAAAAUGAGGCAUUGGGGAUCGAACUUGGUUCCCCAAACUGUAUGGAUCAAACUAAAAUGAAUAAAAAAGAUGUAAUUGUUGUUCAAGGGAUUUGAAAACCGGGUUCCCUUUUCCCAAAUUCCGUAUUUAUACAUAAAUCAUACGUGAAAUAAAUGUUCAAGAAUAAUGCUGCCUACUUAGAUCGAAAUUGAGAUCUUUUCAUACAUACAAGAUGCAUAAGUCUUGUUCCACAUAAUUCUAAAAAGAUAUGAAUCAUUUAAAUUAACUACGAAUGAAGCCUCACGGCUUGUAUGUAAAGAUCCAUAAGUCUAGCAUACAUAUAAAAAUAAGUGAACCUAAGAUGUAUGUAAUGAAAUGAUUUAACCCUAGAAGGGUUAAGUAUGAGUGUAAAAUGCACUAAAUGGCCAAGUGCAUUGUCAUACGAUAAAAUGAUUAUUAUGUAAUGAAAUGAUGAAACCCUAGAAGGGUUAAGUAAGAAUGUGAAACACACAAAUGGCCAAGUGCAUUGGCAUAUAAUUAAAUGAACAUUCACGUUAAAAGAUGUGAGAAUAAUUAUGAAGAACAAAUAUGCUAAUGUUGAUGAAUGUGGUUACAACAUGAUAUAAGACUAAUGUUAGAUGGUUGAUAGUGAACAAUUAUAUAUGUAAUAGAAUGUUUAGUAAGCAUGUUAGAAAACAAAAAGUUUCAAAUUUUCUGCUAAAAUUAACCUUGAUGAAGUAAGAAUGACGUAUGUAGGCUUGCAUGUUACCUCAGAGAGGUCAACGAUGCCGGUCUUGUCUGGGGUCUAGAUUCCGGUCGUGACAUUUCUAUUAUCAAGCUUGAGUGGAAUAGAAGAGAUGAUAUAAUCAAUCAACACUCCAUUACUCACCAUACUCCCCCACUUAGAAGUAACUCGUACCACUAAUGAAACACAAGAAUUUAUCAUGAUUCGUCAUCCUCUUCUUGGUUUGAUCUUUUAGUCCGGAGUCCAUUGAAACGCCUCUUAUUUGGAGCAUCAUCCUUUGGAUCAUUAGGAGCAACUUGUUUACCCUCUCUUCAUUUAUCCUCAAUGGUAGGACAUCUCUCACCUUAUGAUCAUCCUUCCGACAACCAUAGCAAUCACUAAUACCGGCUAGACACAUCCCAUAGUGCCUCUUUCAACAAGUUUCACAUAUAGGUUUUUCAUUUUGAGAACAACCUACUCUCUCAAAUUUUACCUUACCACUCCUAGGUUCUUCUUGAGUUUUCGCCCUCUUUUUGAACCUAGUUUGAAUUCACUCCUUUUCAAGUUUGUAGACAUCCUCUUAUGUUUGGACUCUUCAAUUGAUAUGGCAUAUACACCACGAGUAUAGCUAGGUCAUAUGAUCAUGUAGCAUGGCCGUACGACAUUCUUCCCUCACUAGAUCGGCAACACCCAUCACUAACUUACGAAUCUCAUCCCUUGAGUUAGACACAAGGGAUGGAGAAUAUUGAGACAACAUAGAGAACUUCAAAGAGUAUUUAUCAACACUCAUAUUCCCUUGAUUGAGAUUGAUAAACUCCUCUACCUUAAAUUCCCUCAUCUUACGGGGAAAGUACUUCCCAUGAAAAGCUUUCUUAAAUUCUUCCCACUCAAUAGGAUCCGGUUCAACGGGCCUAUUGCCUUUCCAUUGUGUGUACGAUGCUUGAGAAACAUCUUUCAAUUGAUAUGAAACCAACUCCGCUUUCUCCCUAGAUGUCAAUCCCAUAGCAUGAACUAUUUUAUACACCUUAUCAAUAAAAUCUUGGAGAUCCUAUCCCACCUUAGAUCCAAGAAAUAUAGGAGGAUUAAUCCUCAAAAAGUCUCUCAAUCCAGUUAUCAUGGUACUCUCCACAACAUUCACCCUAGGCUCUCUACUCAAAUUCACUUUAGUAGUCACGGUUUUGGCUAUGAAAAACAAAGCCUUUGUAAUAUCUCUAUUACUUAAUUUCGGGGGAUGCACCGAAACAUUAUUACCUCCUUUCAACAAUAGGGACUUGAUCACCUUGGCACCUUGAGGAAAUUGUUCAACUUGAGAAGGAAUCUCCUCAUGGACAUUAUUCUCCUCCGCUCUCCUAGCCGGUGUCCUCCUAGUAUUCAUCUUACUAGAAACACAAGGAAAACCAUACAAAAUAGUUGUCAUAACGUGUACUCUACGGCACAACAUAGGAGUAGAAAAAAAGGGAAACUUUAUCGUCCGAUAGCCACUCACCCAUAGAUGUGUCGCAACUCACUCCGAUUGUCAAGAGACUUGACUUGAUGAGACUUUUUUAUUCCUAAGACUACUUUCAUAACCUAUCUGAUACUAGGAUUUUCCCAUCCCUAAAAUACACUCUCGAAGAUAUGGCAUUAUCGUAAUGCAAUAGGUGUACUUGACCUCUUGGAGGUCUUGUAGAAGCCAUUUCCGUAUUGUUCAUCGCAUAUACAAGUAUUAAACGUAGUGCAGAAUUAAAACUUUUCACAUGAAUAACUUAAAACAUCUAUUCAUAUGAUAUCAUAGAAAUACUAUGUCUUAACAUAUGCCAUCCUUAGAUGCAAGAAUACUUGGGACACGACCAAUACAAUACUAAUCUAGAAAAUACUUAGUCUAUCACAAUACUUUUAAAUAAAAGACAUAUAUGUAUGACCUCGAGUCAAUUGAGGACAUACUUGAAUUCGCUUGAAGAACUCUAGUAUCUAAGAUUUCCUUCACGAUAUCACGUUUCCCUACACCUUUAGAGAUAAACAAAUGUAGGGAGUUAGUACAAACAUAAAACACAUAAGAAUAACAUUUUAUAAGAAAUAUUUUAUAAGAAACAUGCUCUGUUUAAUUUAAAUAUCAUAUCAUAAUCAUAAGAAUAACAUUUAACACCUUAGAAACAUAUAAGAAGUCAUUUAAUCAAUUUAAUACAUUUAAGGCAGCAUUACAGUAAAUCGCUUCACUGUACAGUGAAUAUCUUUAAUGUUGCAGUGAAGUUUCUUAACCUCUAUUUAGGUACUUUAUAUAACGCAAUCCUCCCACUAAAAGCUAUCCUAUGAUUCACUUAAGUAAGGCAAAGAGAUACCGCCCAUACACCCUCUUUAGGCACACCUAAAUGAUCGAGAUACAGCCCAUACACCCUCUCUAGGCAUGCUUAAAUGAUCCUAAAGACCACCUAUGAUGAGAUCAACACGCACUUCCAAUACACCAAACAUAUCAACAUGACAUUCUCCUUCCAAAGGCUAUCAAAAGACUUGCUUAAGUAUAUCAAGAAGAUAACAUCCAUGAUGGACCUCUUAAAGAUUACCUAAAUAAUGUUUAAGACUACCUAAGGCUUAGAUCAUUUCCACAUAAUCAACAUCUUCCCUAACUAGAGUCAUUCUUAAGACUUAUCUAGAUAAGAUACAAAAUGAUCAUUCCUAUGCCUUCUUCACACCUUAACUAAACAACAGUUAACUACUCUAGAUAAGUACUUAUUCAUAUACAUGUUUUAUUUACUUAAUUCAUUACAUUCAUCAGUUCAUUUAAGACUCAUUCAUCACAUACGGACAUUUAAGUAAUGGUCAUGGACACAACUUAGGGACUCUAACUAACACUUUCAAAGCUUAUUGUGCAAUGUCAAGAUCGUGUCCUAUAACAUAACCUAACCUUCAUAGAACUUCUCUAACGCUAGUAGGUACCCAUAUUAAAAGAAUAGAAAAUAAUUGACAUAGACCAUGAUGGCUAGACAUGAAAUACGGAGUUCUAACCUUCUCCGAUGAGGGUUUUCUACUCGCAAAAGGUAGAACUACACAUCCAAUGCAAACACAUGGUUGAGGAAUAUGAAGAGCUUUUAUUCACUCUAGUCUAAUUUUGAAGUAUAGAUAUAAUGUACUCUAGACUCCUUCUCAAGUAGAGCUACUUCCCAUGACAUAAUCACUCGGUUCAAGCCUUUGUUGUCAUAUAGUAAUUGACACUAUAGGUUCACAUGAAGAGGUUCCUUAUCUAGUUCAUAACCCAAUCACAUUCACUCUACCAAAGAGGUCCACUAGAGCAACCUUUCAAUGUCGUAUAAUAUAUCUCAUCAUGACUUUCCUAAGGAUGAUAUUAUGCCAUUACAGCAAAUCAACCCUAAGUCAAUCAUCCUUCACAUGAAGGAUUCCGUUACGAAUCUUCGACUUCAAAUUCAUAACAUAAUUCUCUCUACUUACAUGACCUUCCGAACAUAAUUUAAGGUAUCACAUAAAAUUCAUUCAUACAUGACAAGGCUAUACUAUGCCUACCUAGUCAAUACAUCUCAUUUUCACAUAUCAUCCAUACAUUUAUCAAGAAAGGGACACAAGUCUACAAAGCAAGAUAAAACUUACUUUACUUAUAACAUAUAACAUAUCAUUUUUUAAAGUACAUAGGAAUGACCCUUAACAUCUUUAUAUCAUCCUAUACAUUACUAUAUCAUAAUAAAUACAACCAUCACAACUCAUAAAGUAAAUUAGGAACAACCAUGCAUCAACAUAUAAGACUACACAUAUAAGCACAUAGUCAUAGUCUACAUGAUCUCUUAACAUACAUAGAAAGAAAUAUAUACUUUCACAUUAAUUCACAUAUAGGUAGAUAUUUUCAUACUUCACAUAUACUAAGUAAACAAGACAUCAUAAUACUUCAAGUAGUGGCGACAAGGCCAUGAUCAUCAUAAUACGUAAAGUAACGCCGACAAGGCCAUAUCAAUUUCAAGUAAGGCACAUAACACUGGCACCAUAAGUUGACCAUCAUAAUCACAACAUAGUUGAAGUAUAAUUAACAUUAAAUAAAAUGAAUUAUGGCAGCAUACCACCACUCCAUCCUCAACACUUCAAUCCAAUGCUAAAACAUCCAAUUUAAUACCACAAGUCCCUUAUCCAUGGACAUGAAAAUCAAUUCAAUAUAAAAUAUAUGAUAUUUUAUGAAACUAGGUCAAUAUAGAUUCAUCAAUCUAAAACAACCUAGAUAUCAAUUCACUACAAUUAUAACAUCAAUCAAUAACCCAUAGAGAACUACACUGGAAUUCAUAAGCAUUAAUUCCAAAUCACUUUACCCAUAAAGUAGUCAAAAACUAGGGUUCAUCAAUUACAUGGGUUCAUAGGUUAAUUGAGUCAAUAUAAUUUAAUUGAUAAAAACUAAAUCAACAUAUAAUGCAUUAAAAACCUUUAUUGCAACAACCCAUGGUAAAAACCUUUAUUGCAAGAACCCAUGGAUAGAUCAUUAUAUUGGACAAUCAAUCUUUGAGAACAUUCAAAAAUUUCUUUAGAAGUUAGUUAGGCUUCUUGAUGAAUAGAGUUUGAAGGAUAAAAAACCAUACCUCAAUAAAGCUAAUACUUCUAUUUGAUGAAGAAUCUCCACUCAAUCCUCCAAUCGAAUUCAUUCCUUGAGUUUUGGCUCCAAUGUAGUUCUAUAUAAUUUCUAAGGAAUUUUGGGUUUUGAUUUUGCAGAAUGAAAUCUUCAAGUGUUAAAUAAUUAUAUACAUAUUUAAAAUAUCCAAAAGACCCUUAUGGAACCUCCAAACUUCUAAUUGGAUGUGGGUGAAUUAACCAAUUCACCCCUAACUUAACAGUUAGUGCAAGCAGGAGACAACCAUCAGAGACGGUUGCCCAUCGACGGGGUGUCAGUCCACCAACAGACCAUCUUAUUCUCCGUCAAUGGGUUGAAAUACUGAAAAAUGGUAUCUUUUAUCCCUAGAAUAAGUCUCAACCCACGCCCUUGGUGGAUGGGGCGUCAACCAGACUAGUGGCAGUAUAUUGCCUCAGUCGAUUGGGCUGGUCUAAGACAGCCUUUGGCUCUUUGAAGGGUCCUUCCUCAAGGACCAUUGGACAGUCCUUAGGGCUUUUGUUCGGAUGUUUCAAAUCCAAACAUGCUCGUAUACGAGUGUAAGACCUAUCACAUGAAUUUUAUCCAAAAUUAAAACGUAAAUCUCAACCAAACAUGCCAAGACACACAAGGUCAUUUUAAGGCAAACAUUUCAAACGUCAUGGACGUUCUUGGACAUUUGACCUCCAGACUUCCCGAAACAUGACACACUUUCUAUAAACACUUUAAUAAAUCAUUUGACCCCAUUAACUUAUGAAAACACAGAAUUAGGAACGUACCCACAUAUGAGGCACAUAGUUGACUUAUUCGUCGAACCUCUUUUUCGUCCCUUGACGUUUCACAUUAAAAUUACCUAAAACUCUAGACACUGCCACAAUACCAUAUUAUAGACCUUUUUAGGACCUUAUACCAUAAUGACAACCAUUGUAGGCUCUAGCUUCACCCAAGCCAUUUUCAAGGUAUUACAUGUGAGGUUAUGGAACUUCACAUGUACAUUGCGCAAGUAGACAUAGGAAGGGAUUAUGAGUAGGGUUCUAUGUUGUUCUUAUGAGGUGAAGUCAAAGUAUGUUAAUUUUACCAUUGACUCACUAUGAUUAUGUUGAAAGUCUUGAUUUGUAUAUUUACUUGUAAUGAGUCUUUCUAUGUGUUCCCUAAAGUAUGUUGGGUCAAAUUUGAGUUAGGAAUCCUAUUAUAUGAAAUACUUCUAUGAAUACAUGUGUUGGGUUUAUGAAGUUUGUAUUCAUGAUUCCCUAGUGGCCUUUAAGUGAUGGUUGAGUGUGCAUAGUUUUAUGGAACAUUUUCUAUACAUUGCACCAUGCAUCACUAGAGGGUUACUUGAGAAGAUAAAGAGUUAAAGAAAAAGGAGAGAGUUCAAAGUAAAACUGAAAUAUGCUCAUGGUAAUUGUGAGUGUGCUUAUUGUAAUGUUGUUACUUAUAUGACUUAAAUGAAAUGUUUGUUUUUAUAUGAUGUCUGACCAUUCAAUAUGCCUAUAUGAAGUAUGUGAAUUGUAUAAUCCUUAUUAUAUCAAAAUUUUUGAUGUUUUCGCAAAAAGGCAUAGUGCAAGGUUAAAAGUAAAAUGUCCCUUUUAAAUGCAUGUUUUUGCAUGGUGCAAUCUAUAAUUCAUUCUUUUACUAACUUUAUUCUUCUCUACUUUUUACACAAAUUGCAGGUUAUGUAUGCUUAAAGGAUGUCUCUAAGGUGAAGACCUUUAUAUGUGAUUCCUAAGCUCAAGAAAAGGAAUCCUUAAGUUCAAGGGUUUCUUAUGUCAUUUUUAAGUAAAGUCAUGUAAUAGUUUAGUUUAUGAAUUCAUGUUAAAGGGUCGUGUCCCUAUUCUAUUCUAUAAUGUUGAGUCUGAGAUGAAAAAAGAGACUUAGAAUCUAAAUAUGUAUUAUGACUGAUACUCUAUAAUUAUAUAAAGUGAUGUUUCUAGCAUAUGAUGUGCUAUGAAGUGUUUUAAAUUUUCCAAUAAUUUACUAUUACAACGUGAUGAAUAAUAACUAUUGGCUUGUAUAAGUCCUCUGAGAAGUCAUGUAUGCCAUAUUACUUCUACGGGGUGCUCCCCGGUCGUGACAAACGUGGUAUCAAAGAAUUAGGUUUAUAAAAGUGAUAUUAGUGUCCAAAGUCUAAUAUUGCAACGUCUAGUAGACUCUCAAUCAUCGGGGGUGAUUCGCGACACAUCUAUGAGCGAGAGGCUAUAGGAUGAUAGAGUUUCCCUUCUUCACUAUUCGCAUGCAUGUCGUGCCAUAGAACUUAAGUCUAUAAGAUCUCUCUCUCUUAUGUUUUCAUGUAUGGUGGUCUUUUAUAUGUGAUUACUUGGAUUAGAUAGUAUCUCUAUGCUUGAGGGAGAAAAGGUGAAUAUUGAUUCUUGCCUUGGUUUUAUUGUUUGAUGUAUAGGUGUGAAGGUGAAAUUUGAUAUAUAUGGUUAUGAUUCACUUAUGUCUAUAUAUGAGACCUAUGUGAAAUAACAUGUUAUAUGAAUAUUUAUGUUAUGAUAUGGUUAUAAAUUGUUAAAAGAGUUGUUAUAAUUGAAUUGAGCAUCAUUUUUGAUUUGAUAUGUUUCUAUAUGGCUUUGCAUAAAGAUAGUCUAAUGAUAUGAUUUUAUCUUGAAAUGCUUAGUGACUGCCUAUGGAAGCAUUAUUGUCUUUAUAAGUUUGAGUGUUCAAUAUUUAUUUUUGUAUAGGUGUGAUGAUUCAUGUGUUGCCUUCUAUGUGUGAUGCCUCAUAGUUUCCUUGUUUUGGAUUGGAGUCCUUUCUAUAGGCUUGUAACUAUGGGUGAAGUUAGUAGGAUUAUCUUUGUAGGGUGAUGAUGUGGAUUGGAUUGACUUAGAAAUUACCAUACAAUGGUAUUGAAAUAAAAAGUAAGAGACGUUACAGACAAGUCUCUUCUAUUGUUUCCUCUGAGGUUGUUAUGAUCCUUGGUGUUUAUGGUAUUGUUGAGACCUUAUGUUGUUGGGUAGUAUGACCUUACUUAUAUGGUAUGGAUUUCAUUUGGGUAUUAAGCCUAGAAGGAUGGUUAUGGUCGAGUUAGUAGGCUCCUUAAUGAGUGAGUAUGUGAAAACAAGAAAUGAUGUUAAACUUUAUUAUGUGAGGAGUGUAUAGGUUGGUUUUGACUUGACUUGACCUUAAUAGUUAAGGGGAUUAUGUGAUUGGGCAUACCCAAAGUUAGGGAUAGUUUGCCUAAGUGAUAAGAUUUUAUGUGCCCUUGAUGCCCCUAUGUUGAGUUAAGCUAAACCUUUUUAUGUUUGUAAUCACAUGUAGGUGGAAAUGAUGAUGGUUGGUAAGCUAAGAUCCUCCUUAGGUAAGGUUAAGUUAUUCUUAAGUGGGUUUACCCUAAGUUGGGAUGAUGAGUACAGAAGUAAGGUUGUAAAUUUCUUAUCUUGUCCUUCUAUUCUUAUUUGAGUUUUAAAGUAAAGAGGUAUUAGAAACUUUGUUCAUCAUAGGAGUCUUGCAUAAUAAAAUGAGUUGCAUGUUCUCCAUAUGUUUUGUAUGUCUUAUUUGACACCUUGUUAGGCAUGUUUUCAAGAUUCUAAAUUGCUUGAAAAAGGAUUUUUGGUCAAAUUCAUGUUUCCUUAUGUUAAUUGUGCAUCUUGACAUUCUAGUUGUACAUUUAACUUCAUGAGAUAAGGUAAGGAGCAUGUUUAAUUUCACUUUUAAGGCGUGGUAUUUAAACCUCAUAAUGAUGAAUUGAGUUUUCUUAAAAUGAAAAGUGAUGAGUCUCUUGAAAAUGAUGUGAGUAUUAUGGCUUGGGAAGUAUGAAUAUAGGCUCAUCCUUGAGGAAUGAAGGCAUCUCUAGCUAAUAUCCCUGUGUGUUCCUAGAAAUUGUGAGACUUUUCCAAAUUGAUGCAUGCUUAGGAAGGCUAGUGUUAUGCUAGAAAUAGAAAUUUUGUAAUAUUGCUUCAUAUUGAUGUCAUUCAUGUGUGAGGUUUGAUAUACCAUUUUGGGUCCAUUAGGAAGGAAAUGUGCGCAUGUUUUGGGUUAGAAUUGAGAAUUUGUCAUUUAAAAUGAAUUGACCUUUGUGCAUUGCUUGUAUAAGAACUCAUGAUACAUGUAAGCAUGUCAAGGAUAAGGACAUUCCUCUUUUAACAUAGCUAAGAAUAGUAAGGUUGAGCAUAAAAUUUCUUGGAAUUAUGACAAAUUGAUAAGUAUCCUAGUUGAUUUACCUGACUCAUGUUUAUGUGCAUUAAAAAGAUUGCUUACUUUCUUCUUGAAUAAUGUGGAAUCUUCCAAUGUGCGAUCAUACCCGAUGAGAUCUUACUGAACUGAAAUGUAAAGACCAUGUAAUGAUUAGGAGAAGAAUGUUCCUCCUAUGAACAUGACAAGAUUGUAGGUGUUUGAUGCAUUUUGAAAGUGAGUGAAUAGAGGUUUUGUUUGCUUGUGUUGCAUUGAGUGCAAAAUGGCACGAAGUUUGUGUUCCUUGUAAUUUGGUGCAUUAACUUCUAUGUUAUAAUGGUAUGAAUCUUGUGAGCUUCUCUAUGGUUCAUUAAAGUCCUUUUUGUGAUUUAAGUGUUCCAAGUGUCAUUCAAGGACGAAUGUUCCCAUGUGGGGGAUAUUGUAAGACUCGGAAAAUGAAUCAAGGUUAUUAAAGCCUCACAUAUGUCUAAAAAGGUUUAAAAUAUGUUCUUUAGUGUUUUGUAGUAUUUACACAUGAUUUGAGGUUAUUUGGAAGUCAAACGUCAUGGGACGACCAAGACUUUCGACGACUAGUCACCAAAGGGACUUAAGUGUUUUUAUGUGCUUAUGUGUGUUUCAUGGAGUCAUGAGGUCCUUAUAUAAGUUACAAUGAUGUUUAUCGGCAGUGUUAAGUGUAAUGAAGUUUGGAGGUCAAACGUUUAAGAACGUCGAAGACGUUCGAAAGUUAGCCCUUUAGACGUGCUGUGUCCUUCUAUGUUUUCCUUGUUUUCAUGUGUUAUUUGUAAUCCAAAAAUAUUAGAGUUGACCCUAUCAUCUUAAUAACAUGUAAGAGUGAAAACGUCCAGGUACGAUUCCCCGAGGACAAUAGUAAGGGCCCUCGAGGAGGACCCAAACGUUUGACAAGAGGCUGCCCAAGGCAGUGUGCCGCAGCAAGAAUGGGACCUUGCCCUUGUGACGUGCGCCUAGAACGAGGAUAAAUUCCUCAAAUUUUAUUUGGUGAAGAAUUAGGGGCUGCCUCCGUGACGCGCAGUCACUUUCGAGAUCCGGUUGCUUCAUUUUUAUGUGAAUUUUGACAUGUCUAAAAGUCCCAAUAAUCAUGGGGGUGUUUUGGUAACAAAGAGGGACGGUUAUAAACUGAUUUUAUGACUUAUUUAACCCCUUUUACAAGACAAAGCCCCAACAUCCAAUAAGAGAAUCAAAAUCCCAAAUCUCUCCUCUUAAAAAUUCUCUUAACGAUCCAUUGGAGGGAAAACUCAAGCUCAAGAUAGGUGCUGGAUUUUCAUUGAUUGUUCUUAAAUUUUUCAUGGGAUUCUCAUGUAGAAAGGUAUGGUGAUCUUUCAUCUCUAAUAACCUUUCAUUUAGAGAGUUCCUUUCAAAGUUUUCAAAGAGAAUUGAUGAUCAAAAUCCCUAUAUUCUAAUCUAGUGAUUGGAUAUUUCUCAAAACGCUUACAAAGUCUUUCUCAUGAUAAAUUAAUGUUAAUAUAUUUAUUUUAAAGUGAAUUUCAAUCAAAUUGCAUUAUGAGCCCAUAUUCUCUCCAAUUCUAAAAUUAGCCUAUGCUAUGGGCAUUGUGAUCCUUAGUAUAUGUUAAUAUAUUUUUGAUUCUAGCAUGUUGAAUUGCUUAUAUCUAUUGUCUAUAAUGUAGAUUGAUGGUCAAUUGUUCAUGAGAUAUCUAUGUGGAUCAAGGUUUGAUAGUUUGAAUAAGAUUAACCUAUGUUCCUCUAUAUUCCAUUGACUCCUAAAUGUAGCAUGCAUACUGUAAUCUCAAUUCUUUGGCAAGUGUAUUAGAAUUUCGUUUAGGUUAUGAUCUCUUUAGCUACUGACUUAUAUUGUAAUUGGAUGAAUUAUGAAUGUGCAUUAUUGAGGAUUAAAGCAUGGUAUUUGGUAAGUGAUCUAUACCUCCCACGUGGCUAAUGAAUUGGUAAAGUAGUGUAUUUAUUUGUAGUAUGAUCUUGUGGUAGUUUAUGUAUGAUUCCGUCUAGGUUAUUAAUCAAAGAUGGAUAUUGGUCAAUGAUGAUCAAAGGUGAAUGGAUUGGUAUGAAUGGCUCUACCUCUCUACUCUUCUAUAGUAUUGUUAGUUAAUGUAUCCUUAGAUGACAUUGUAUGGUAUGGUCCACUUAUGGUGGUGGUGUUUACUUCCUUCUAAUUUUAUAUGUGAUGUGAUAAGGUCCUUGAAGGCAAGUGUAUAAUGAAUGUGUGGUAGUGAUGAUCACCUUAUAUGAAAUGUCAUGCUUAGUUUCCAUUUUUUUUUAUGGUCUAGGUUGUGUUACAAAUUUUUAUGAGUAUGUGGGUUUCUAUGUUAAGUAUGUUCUUUACUCUUCCAAAGAUGAAGUAUAAUGAUUAAUGACCCCUUAAUUUCAUACCCUUAUCUACAUGUGUGAUUAGCUAUUGUUAGGAGUCUUGAAUGCAACUGUUGAAGUCAUCUUGUCUCCUAUGCUAUUAUAUGUUGUGUGGUCUAUGAUUGGAGGUGCAUUCUGUUCCUAAGACGGUGGUUGCCUCAAUAUAUUCUUGAUAUCCAUUAGGUGAUCAUGUUGACGAAUGUAUACACACUCACACUUCAUGCAUGCUUAUCAUGUAGAUGUAAUGUAUAUGUUGAUUAAGGAUGAUUAUGCAUCCCUUAUCUAGGAUGACUUGAUAUGUUUACUAAAUGUGCAAGGGUAUGUACAUUGUUUAUGCAUUGCACAUCUGUACCUUGAUAGAACAGUUCCUAGGUUUAGUUUUCUAUGUACAUGAAUGUAAAUGCAUGAUUUUGUUAAUGUAUGAACAUGUGUGCUCUUAAUGUAUUAUAUUAAAGGGUUUCUCACAUAUAUCUAUGCACACACACAUUAUGAUGAUCUAGGCAAUGGAUGGGACUCUAAAGGUGUUCCUAAUAGUACCGUAACCUAGAUGGUGGAUGAAUAUGCUCUGUCUAUGUGAAAGGGGUUCUUACACGACUUUGGUUGAUGAACUCUCAUCUAUGACCUAUAAUCUAGGCAUAUGAGGGGUUUACUCUCCUUAGCCUAAUUUUAUAAAGUAAAAUUAAUAAUGGCUUUUCAAUAAAGGGACCUUAUCUCAGCACCGAGAAAACUUGACAAUGAGAGGUGUUGGCUUCCCAUGGAGGAAGGUGCACCCUAUAGUUUCAUAUGAGGUGUUCACUAUCCUAUGAGGGACACUCACCCUAUGGAUUAUCUUGAGAUGAGGGAUCCAAUGCCAAUAUGCCUGUAGAGGGUUCAAUACCAUAUCUCUUAGUUCCAUAAACUACGCACGCCACAUACGAUCUAGCAAGUGAUAUCAUUUAGUAUGCUAGCAUGAUGGUUAAUGUUCUACUUUGGCUAAGUGGAGCACCUUCCUUUGGAGUAAGGCUUUACAACACCAAAUUCCAUGUUUAGCCCCCAUUGUCUUAGUGUCGCUUAAAGCUAUAGUUUCCCUAAUGUAAAAUGGAAAAUGGAAGUAAAAAAAGGACCCUAACUAGGAUAACCUGAGGGAAGUUGCUUAGUGUAGGUGGGGGUAUGGGACUUCACCUAUGCACUACACAAGUAACUCUUGAAGGGAGUUAUAGGAAGCUCUUCUAAUGUAUAUGAUUAUGUUUAUGUUCCUUAGGCAUGACAUUGUAGUGUUGUGUACUUGUUGUGAUAAUAUGCAUGGUAGGAGUCCUAAUGAGUCUAUGUUAUGUGGUCUUACCUUAUUUGCAUAGUGUAUGUCGUAUUGACCAUAUGAUGAAGUAUUUCUUGACAUGAAGGAGGUUGUCUAUGCUUUUACUGUUGAUGUAUUAAGGGCAUGUUAAGGCUUGUAGUCUUUUUGUAGGUUUACUUAGUAUGUGUGAGGUUAUGUGAUUUCACAUGUACAUUGCCCAAGUACACUUAGGAUGAGAUUAUGAGUAGGGUUCUAUGUGGUUCUUAUGAGGUGAUGUCCAUGUAUGUUAAUGUGACUAUCGCCUUGCCAUGAUCAUGUUAGAAGUAUUGACUUGUAUAUGGUCUUCUAAUGAGUCCAUACAUGUGGUCCCUAAACUAUGUUGGGUAAAAUGUGAGUUAGGUAUCAUAUUACGAAUACAUGUGUUGAGUCAAAUGUUAGUUAGGUAUCUUAUUGUAUGAAAUACUUUUAUGAAUACAUAUGUUGGGUUAAUGAAGGUUGUGUGGAUACUGUUAUGGACAUUGUCUAUACAUGUCACCAAGCAUCAUUAUAGGCUUACUUGAGAAGAUAAAGAUUUAAAGUGAAAGGAGAGAGUUCACUGUAAAACAUAAAUAAGCUCACUGUAAUUGUAAAUGUGCUAACUGUAAUGUUGUGACUAUAUGCCUUAAAUCCAAUAUGUGGUUUUAUAUGAUGUGUAACCAUUGAAUACGCCUAUAUGAAGUAUGUGAAUAGUAUAAUUCUUAUUAUAUCAAUACUUUAUGAAGUUCUCACCAAAUGGCAUGAUGCAUGGUUUCAAGUAAAAUGUCCAUUUUAAAUGCAUGUUUUUGCGUGGUUGCCAUACUUAGUGCGUUCUUUUGCUAACUCCAUUCUUCUCAAAUUUUUACACAAAGUGUAGGUCAUCGAUGCUUAAAGGAUGUCUCUAAGGUUAAGAGUUUGAUAUCCAAUUCCCAAGCUGAAUAAAAGGAAUACUUAAGUUCAAAAAUUUCCUAUGUCUUUGUUUUAAGUAAAAUCAUGUAAUAGUUUAGUUUAUGAAUUUAUGUUAAAGAGUUGUGUCCCUAUUCUAUUCUAUGAUGUUGAAUCUAAGAUGGCAAAAUAGACCUAGAGUAUAAAAUAUGUAUUAUUACUUAUAUUCUAUAUUUAUAUUAAGUGAUGUUUGUAGCAUAUGAUGUGCUUUGAAAAGUUUUAAAUUUCCCUUUAAGUUUACUAUAACAACGCUAUGAAUGAUAAAUAUGGGCUUGUAUAAGACCUUUGAGAAGUCAAGUACGCCAUGUUACUUCUAGGGAGUGCUCCCCACUGGUUAAAUAAAUGGUGUAAUGUCUAAUGUUAAGAAAGAAUGUUAAGGUGAAGUAUUGUAUAAUGAAGUAUAUCAAUGAAGAAUGUGGUAUACGUGUUCUCAUGGGAUCAUCAAGAAGAACAUUGUAGGGGUAGUAGUAUGGGAUGUAACUCUCACAUUACACUUUCUGUAACUUGCAAGUCCACAUAAGAAGGAAAAUUAUGUUAUGUUCUUAAAUGCAGGUAUGUUUCACUAAUGUCUAGUUAUAGGAAUGUGUUCUUGUUACCCGUGCUAAGUAAGCCUAUAAUAAGUAGUGUUGAAUAUCACUUGAGUGCGCAUUGAAGGGAUUGUACGGGCGGUUCCUUCAUGUCUACCUUAAUGAGUCAUAUGAUAACCUUGGUAGGGAAACUUCAAAGGACACUGAGUUUACAAUGAGUUGAAGGUUUGAGUUAUUGUAAAGUGAUCUUUUGUGCUAAAAUUGUGGACGUCUUAUUAUAUGUGCUAACUGAUUAUUUAUAUGUUGUUUUACUUCUAUAUUCAAGUUUUACUUAAUUUCCAUUAAAGAUUAUUUCUUCUUAAUAUUUCCUCUUUUGCAUGUUUUUGGCAUAUGCCAUAAUUAGUAGAAUGUUUGUACAAACCUCAUACUUUUCUAUUCUCUAUAAGUAUAGGUUUGAAGCAAGUGGAUGUGUUAAAGUCAACCUUGGGAAUCAAAUCUUUCAAGGCUAAGUAUCUCCUCAUAUAUUGAAGGGCAUGAUCUUUAUUUAUUUAGUUAUUUAUAAGACUUAUUAUGUAUUUUCUAUCAAUGUAAAGGAUCAUGUUCGUAUUAUGUUCAUGUCGUGUAUUUAGGUUGGCUUGUGACGAUGAGACUAUACCUUUAGUAUUUAUAAAAGAUAUUCACUUUAUCAUUAUAUCGUUAAAGAUUCAUUUCCGCACUACUUUUCAUGUCUUAAGUAAUGAAUGAUAGCUAAGAGGCUAGUACAAGACCUCCAAAAGGUGAAGUAUGUCGUGUUCCAAUCUAAGGGUUGGACUAAGUUCUCGGGUUUACCUGAUGUUUGUUGCAAUAAUAAUGUAUAAGAAUCAUUUAGGAAGUUUUAGACUUAAAAUAUCAAGAAACGUCCAUGACGUCGGAGACUAGUGCAAAAGUGCGAGUGUGCCUUAGCCUAUUUCACGGGGUUGUAGGAGUCAGGUUCUAUGAAAUUUCUUGUAAAGUUGUCUAAUGCAUACUAUAAUACGUUUAGGGUCAAAAUUUCCAGGUACGACUCCCCAAGGACCACCCUCAGGGUCCUUAAGGAGGACCCUUUCAUUUUGACCCAAAACUUCCAAUUGAGGCAGUCCAAACAAUAGCCAUCAAUAGUUGCAGGUGAUAAGGCAUGCCUGAUCGAUGAGGUUUCGAUGCUUUCUAAAAUGGUCAUUAUCCAUUUUCAUGAAUAGACAAAUUUGGAAACUCUUUGACCAAAACGACGGACGUGUAGCUCAUCGAAUGACCUACCGACCAUAGGUCGGGGUCUCGUAGGUAGGUUCUGUGAAUGGUUUAUGAAUGGUUUUGCAUAUAUUGCAUCUCCCUUUUCUACUUUGAUCCAAAAGAAUGUGAAAUAUGAGUGGUCGUAGGCAUGUGAAAGAGGCUUCAAAAACUUCAAAGAUAGGCUUACUUCCUCUCAAGUGUUUACUUAUAGAGGGUGCCAAGGGAUUCAUUGUGUAUUGUGAUGCAUCCCGAGUUGGUUUAGGGUGUGUGCUUAUGCAACAUUGUAAAGUAAUAGCCUACACCUCUAGAAAAUUUAAGGUGCAUGGGAGAAACUAUCCAACUCAUGAUCUUGAGUUACCGGCCAUGGUUUUUCUCUUCAAAAUAUGGAGACGUUACUUGUAUGGUAUUCAUGCUGAUUUGUAUGCCCACCACAAGAAUCUACAAUAUGUGUUUGCUCAAAAUGAGUUUAAUCUACGACAUAGAAGGUGGUUGGAAUUGUUCAAAGAUUACGAUAUGAGUGUCUGCUAUCACUCUAACAAGGCCAAUCUGGUUGCGGAUGCUCUAAGUCAUAUGACCAUGUAUAGUGUGUCUCAUAUAUAGGAAUCCAAGAAAUACCUAGUUAAAGCUGUUCAUAGGUUUGAUAGAUUGGGUGUUAGAUUGGAAGAUUCUCUAAAUUGUGGUUUUUUAGUCUAUCAGAACUCCGAGUCAUCUUUGGUGGUUGAGGUGAAAUCCAAACAAAAACUUGAUAAACCAUUGAUGGAGUUUAAGGAAUUGGUUCUUGGUAAGCAUAAUGAGUCAUUCUCCUUAGGGGUUGAUGGUAUCUUGAGGUAUCAAGGAAGGUUGUGUAUUUCCAAUGUAGAUGGUUUGAAAAUCAGAUUCUUGAGGAAGCUCAUGUGUCCCAUUAGUCCAUUCAUCCUGGUUCGAUAAAGAUGUACCAUGACCUUAAGGAAGUAUAUUGAUGGAAAGGUUUGAAAAACGACAUAGGGGAAUUUGUUACCAAGUGUACAAACUGCCAACAAGUGAAGGACGAACACCAAAGGUUGGGUGGUUUACUUAACGAAAUUAAAAUUCCUACUUGGAAGUGGGAAGAUAUCAAUAAGGAUUUUGUGGUGGGUUUUCCUCGGACACAAAAGCAUUAUGACUCUAGAUGAGUGGUUGUGGAUAGGUUGACCAAAACCUCUCAUUUUAUUCUCGUCAAGUCUACUUACUCUGCGGAAGAUAUGCAAGGAUCUUCAUAGAUAAGAGUGUGUUUUUCCAUGAUAUACCUUUAUCCAUCAUAUCAGAUGGUGGAGCACAAUUCAUAUCUUUGAUUAAAAACGUCAUUCCAAGAAGGGUUGAGUAACGAGGUGAACUUAAGCACUGUUUUUCAUCCUCAAACGUCAAGCAAAGGAUACUAUUCAAACCCUUGAGGAUAUGCUUAGAGCUUCUAUAAUUGAUAUAAAGGGAAAUUGGGAUAAGCAUUUGCCUUUGGUGGGGUUUUCUUACAAUAAUAGCUACCAUUCAUCUACAUACGUAGCUCUUUAUGGAUCCUUGUAUGGUAGGAUAUGUAGAUCUCUAAUUUCACGGUUUGAAGUAGGCAAGUCUUCACUUUUAGGUCCCUAUUUUAUUUAUAAGACUUUUGAGAAGGUUCAUAUUAUAAUGAAUCUCUGGCAACCAGCCUUUAGUCGGCAAAAAUCUUAUGCGGAUCAUAGGAGAAGGGAGUUAGAGUUUUAAGAGAAUGAUAAGGUGUAUCUAAAAAUUUCGCCUUGAAAAGGGGUGCUGAGAUUUUGAAAGAAAGGGAUCUUGAGUUCUCUUUAUGUGGGUCACUAUGAAAUAUUGCAAAGGGUCGGUAAGGAUGCAUAUGAAUUGAAACUCCCUAGUGACCUAUAUUCGGUCAUCUGGUUUUCCAUUUUUCAUGAUUAUGAAGUGUAUCAGAGAUCCAGAGUCUAUUAUUCCUAUUAAGGGUCUUUGUGCGAAAGAGAACCUCUCUUAUGAGAAUGUUCCGGUUCAAACGGUUCAAAUCCUUAAUAGACAAGUAAUGUAGUUAAGGAACAAAGAGGUAGCUUCCGUAAAGGUGUUAUGGUAGAAUAUCCUAUUUGAGGGUUCAACAUCGGAGUUCGAGGCCUAUAUGAAGUCCCGUAACUUUCAUAUAUUUGAUAAAUAAGGUUAGUUGUUCCUCUUAAUGAUGAAAAUAAUGACUAAAACUUGAAUUUUCUGUCAUUUUUUGUGAUGUUUUACUAAAAUAUGCAUUUAUGAUUUCAUAACGGAGAAGGGCGCAUUUGACUUGAAAAUUUUGCAAUUCCUCUUGUUUUGAGUUAUUUUUUGCAUUUUGAUGUGGUGAAUUUUAUGAAAUCAUAUUGAUUAUGUUAGUAAGUUGAAUUUUGGCAUAAUUGACUCAUAUAUGGUAGGUGAGCAAUUGUUUUUGUCAGAAGGAAAUACCUCAUAAUGUGAUGUUAAGCCUUAUGUGUGGUAAUUGAUGUUUUGAAUUUCUAUGUGAAAAUGUACCAUGAUUUGAGUUGUAACUCAUGGUUUGAUAUGUUGUUCUAUGUUUGACUGCAAGUCUUGAGUCUAUUCAUUCCCUUUAAAAGAUUUGUCAUUCGCGGAUGAAGGUUCCUAAUGGGCGGAUAAUGUAAUACUCCGAAAGUCUAAGACAUAUUCUAGAGUCUAACAUAGGUGUAAAGAUUAAGAAACUUUGUUAAGGCCAAUUUUAAUUUACAUAGGUCAUUUAUGAAGUUUAUUAAUCAAAACGUCAAAGAACAUCCAUGACGUCCAGAAAAUAGUUCAAGGAGGUACUACUGUGCCUUAGCCUAUUGGACUAAGUUAUAGGAGUCAUAAAUUGAUGAAUUUUGGUGGAAUGGUGUCUAAUACAUAUUAGAGUUGAUUCAUAAUAGAAAAAUUUGGGCAGGGCUCCUCAAGGACCGGCCAAGGGCCGUUGAGGAGGACCCUUGCAUUUUGGCAAAAAGCUGCCAAGAAGCAAUGUGCACAAAUGAGUGCAAAAGACGUAAUGUGUGUCAACGAACGGGGCAUUUAUGACCAAUGUCGAUGAACACUUAACCAAAUCGAAGUCUAUUUGACAUGUCUCUGAAUUUAAUAAGGACCAAUAGGACGGUUGGUCCCUUGGUCCUUUAUUUGAGAAACGAGGUGUCGAAUGGAGUGUCGUCUGUGGGAACACUUUUAACCCACAUGUUUUAAAUUAUUAAGUUCGUUAUAAGAGGUUAUUUUAUUAUUUAGGGGUUUAUUGAGGCCUAAUUAAGUUAUUUAAGGACAUAUAUAAAGACCCUAACCUAAUUACACUAACUUAAUUCUCAUAAUUCCUCAACACAAAUUCUCCUCCUUCUCUCUUCGUUCUCUUUCCCAAGUAGAAGAACACCAUGGAGACAGGGUAAAGGAGGUUUCUAGAGCUGAAAUCACAAAGGUUUUUCCAUAUAUCUUCAUCAAACAUUAAGGUAUGGGAUUCCUUUCACCAUUAAGACUUCUUUCUCCAAAGGGUUCUUAAAAAUUUAUUUCAAAAUAUGAGUUUUCAUGUGGGUCUUUUCCAAUCUCGAAAUUGACCUUUCAAAUUGAUUUGAUAAUGGUUUAUCUGGGUAAUAUUUAUUAAAUUAUUAAUAAUUAUUACUAUAUUACACUACUCAUUCAUGGAUUGGUCUAAUUUGUAGAAGAUGACCUUUUUCCUUUAGCCCUAGUUUGAGAUCUAACUAUGAAUUGUGUAGUUUUGUUCAAUUGACUUGGCUAUUAGUUGAAUUACGAUCAUAUGAUUUUUAUCCAUUUAUGAAUAGGUUAAGAUUAAUUGUAGUUCUAUCAUGCUAGUUCUUGAGAAAUUGAUACAGGUUAUGACGUAGAUUAUGGAUUUGACCUACAUCCUUUAUCUUAAGCUAUACACUAGUGAUGGUGUAAGCCUUCAAAAGUCUAAGAAAUGUUCUAUAUCCUAACAUAAGUUUCAAAAGGUUUAGAUACUAUUUAAGUUCUAUUUUAAUGAAUAUAAGUCAUUUAGAAAGUUUAGAAGUCGAAAAGCCAAGGAACGUCUAUAACGUCCGGAAACUAGUUCAAUAAGGUGCUAGUGUGCUGAGUUUCUAAUGUGCCUUACUUUAUUUGACUAAGUUUUAGAAGUAGGAAAAUGAUGAAAAUUGGUGGAUGGUUGUAUAGCAAGUAUUAGAGUUCAUUCAUGAUAAAAAUAUCCGGGCAAAACUCCCCAAGGACCAAAUGAGGGCCUUUGAGGAGGACACUUACAAUAAAAAGGCUAAAAGUUGUCAAUAUCUAGUAUCACCAAUGAAUGCCACCAACGAUUAAUUGGUGAAUUGAUGGGGAGUCAAUAACUUUAUCGAUGAUCACUUAUAAAAAUCCAUGGGAGGCCUAUUUGGACAAGUCUCUGAUCUAAACGAUGGACCAGAUGGACUGUUGGUCCUUGGUCCAUUGAUUGACACACGAGGCGUGGAUGGGGAAUCAUCUGUGAGGGGCUCAUUUUGCUGCUUUAUUUUAUGUGAGUUAAUUUAAUUAAUUAGGUGGUUAGUUAAUUAGUUAGGGGUUAAGGGUUCUCUAAUUAAUUUAAUUAGCAACCUAUAUAAACACCCUAACCUAAUUAGACUUACCUAAGCUCUCAUAAUUCCCAAAACUUAUACUAUCUUCCUUGUCUCUUCUUUAUCUCUACCAAGUUGAAGAACACCAUAGAAGGUCAAAUUAAAGGUGGGUUCUAGGGAUGCAAUCACCAAGUUUUCUCCUUCAAUAUUAAUCAAACAUUAAGGUAUGUGAUUUCUUUGACCUUUGGGACUUCUUUCACUAAAGGGUCCCAUCAAAUUGAUAUAAAAAAUAUGACAUUUAAGUGGGUCUUUUCCAACCUCGAAAUUGAUCUUGUGCCAUACAUUUUCUAUGAUUUCCUUUUGAUAUGACGAAUAGAUUAAAAUGCAUUAUAACCAAAAAUAUGUUAUUUCUUUAUACAUUGGUCUAGUUUGUAGAAGCUGACUUAUUCCCCUUAACACUUGGUUAUGAUUUUGAUAUGAAUUGUGUAGUGUUGGUCCAAUAUACUUGAUUAUUUGUUUUAAUACUACUAGAUGAUUUUAUUGCAUCAAUUAUCAAAAUUUUAAGAUGAAUUAUAGUCAUAUCAUGCUAGUUCUUGAUUAAUUUAUAUAGAUUAUGGGUUUGACCUAAGUCUCUUAGGUUAAGCUAUGAACUAGUGAUGGAUUCUGAUGUAGUGGCUCAAUUGACUUUGUUAUUAUGUUAGUUAUUAUUGUGUAAUGAUACUAAACCCUUAUUGGAUUGAGUUAAGUGGUGAUGGUAAGGCCAUGAUGAUGAAUUAUUGAGGAGACUUGGUAAGUCUUGUGAUCUCAACUCUUUACUUCAAUUUUGGUUAAUGGUGAUUUAAGUAAUGAUGUUGUAUGGAAGUAUACCUUGUAUUAAGAUUGAUAGGGUUGGUAUGAUAUUGAAUUGGAGUGUCAUGACUAUAGUUUGUGAGGUUUUGGCUAAGAUGUAAAUGAUAUAAGGAUGGUGAUAACUUACCAAUGUGCUUUAUCAUGAUGUGAAUGUGUAAAUGUGCUAACCUUACUUAUACCAAUUGUAAUGAAAGCACUAUAAUCAUGAAAUUCUUAUUGAGCUAUGAUGAUGAUGAUGAUUAUAUAAUGGAUAGAGCCUAUGAACUACAUUAAUCAAUGAUGAUUAAUAAAUAUAUUAAAGACAUUUCCAAAGGGACUCUAGUUAGCACUGAAAGAACUAAAGUGAGGAGUGUCCUUUUCCACAUUGGAAAGGUAGGAUGACAAAUGUACUCUUGAUAUUGGAGACUAUAAUGAAAUUAGAAUAAAUAUGGUCCCAUCAAUAUAUUCUUGUUCUUGAACUAUGUUGCCCCCAUAGGAAUACAAGCUAGUUGAUUCACGUACUUGCUAUGUGUUAUGCCUCAUAUUUUUUUAUACGUAGUGCGCAUCGUGAUCUAGUAGACGUAUGUCCGGGGAAUGAGAUUUUAUUUUAAGUUCCAAGUGAUUAAAGAAAUAUUAGGCAAGGAUGUUAUUUCCAAAUGUGAUAUUAAGUAUGAGUUGGCUAAGGUAAGUGUCAUUAACUUUAAGUGAGGGAUUAAUUAGUGGUUAAUUUGGAUUGAUUUAAUCCAAUGGGCCCCACCACUCAUAAUUGGUGGCUGAUUAGGAUUAAUUUAAUCCAGUGGGCCCCACCACUCAAGGCAAAAAUUAAAAAGGGAUCAGAUUGUGAGUUGGCCUUAGUGGACAGGUGUAGAGGGGGGUUGCCUCCACUUCAUACUAUUAAAUGAGGUGGAGAAAUCCACUCCAUGCUAAAUAAAGUGGUGAAAUGCAUUGCUGCAUAUAAUCUUCUUCUUCACCACUUGUCUUAGGCAGCCAUGGAAAUGGAGAAACCAACCCUGCAACUCUUGGCCAGCAGCUGCAAAUAAUUUGGUUAGUAAUCUCCUUGUUUGGUGUGUUAAUUCUUUAGAAUACCUUUAUUAAUUAUCCAUUAAUUUUAAGAAGGGGGCGUGACCAGUAGCUUAGGAAGUUUGUUUUAGUUAUUGAAUGUGCUAAGUAUGAACAAAAACCAUAAUCGGAUUAUUAGUGGUGUCGUGUUGGUGCUUGGCAUUAUGUAUAUGUUGAAUGUGAUUAUGAGUUAUAAUCCAAAGGAUGAAUACGAUAAGGUAGAUGUGUUGCGAAUUAUAAAACGAGUUAUCGCUCGGUGUGUCGUUGCUUCGCUGCUAUGGUUGCCGAGACGGAACUGUUUUGGGGAGGGGGCUGUUUAAUAUGAUUCGUUGGGUUAUAUGUGUUAUUGGUAUUGCUGUGGAUAAUUUGGGUUGUUGUCGGAUUGGGACGAAGUAAGGAAAAUAGGGGAAGUGCUGCCGAAUUUUCGUUAGAUUAUUAGCUAGCUUACAAGAAAGUAAAGUGCGAUGUUUAUCUAACUGCGGCACGAUUGUUGCUUGUUAUAGAUUAAUAGCUUGAGCAGUAAAUAUUGGACGUGCGGCUCGAUUAUACGGUAUGUAACGCUGUCCCUUCUUUCUUUGUUUGGCAUGACUUUUAAAAAUAAGCGAAUAACGGACAGGUUUGAUUCUUACCUCUAGAGCGUCUAGGUGACGUAUAUUCUUGCUUCCACAAUUAUUCCUCUAUAUAUCGGCUAUGUCUAAGGCUAUGAUGAUCUCUCAUAUCUAUGGUAGUGCUUCUUAGAGUCAUUGAGAUUUUACGUUUCCAUAUCAUAUUAAAGGUUCAUAAUCUUGAUAAAACAUUAAUCUUUGGUAAUACUCCUUGCUGGUUUACGUUGAUUGUUCUAUUGAGUUAUAAGAAAUGAUUUUAAUUGCAUAUGAUUGCUCAUAAUAUUCUGCUCGUGCAUAGAGUCAUUUAUCAUUUCACCGAGUCCCGGGCCGGGUAAUGUUCGUGCGGAGUUUCUUGCAUAUGUCACCGAGUUCCUCACUAGAGGGCCGGGUAUGUAUAUGAUAUAUAUGAUUGGUGAUGAGGAUGGUUAUGAUGAUGAUGAUGACGGAGAUGACGUGAUGAUUAUUUUGUCGAGCCCCUUACUAGGGAAGCUGGGCACCUUAUAUGUUAAAGAUAUGCAUGAUUUUCACUUAAAAGGGUGCAUGUGUAGCGAUAUUUUGUUUCAAAUUUCCAUAUUGGUAUCCUGUCAUCUUGAACUUAUGCUUUACAUACUCAGUACAUUGUCCGAACUGACCCCCCUUUCCUCGGGGGGAUGCGUUUCAUGCCCCCAGGUGUAGAUGCACAGUUCGGCGAUCCUCCCGCCUAGGAUAUCUACUCUGCUGAUUGGGAGAGCUCCAUUGUUCCGGAGCCCAGUCAUUUUGGUACACAUCUUUUGUGUAGUCUUUUGCUCGUCUAUGGGUAUGGCGGGGCCCUGUCCUGUCGAGUUUUACUAAUGUACUCUUAGAGGUCUGUGGACAUUAUGUGGGUCUUAUAUAUAUGUUUUGGAUAAUGGUCUGGACAUGGUUUGUUUGGGAUGUCCGCUUGUACAUGUCACGACCCAACCCGAUAGGCCGUGACUAGUGCCCGUUUUGGACACCCACAUACAAACCUGCUAAGUAUGACCAACUGAAACUAAGACAAUAUGGAAUUUAAUCAAAUCAAGCCAACCCCAACGUCAUAUAUAUAUAAGAGGACCUGUCUCAUAAGGAGUCAUAACCAUUCAACCAUAACAGCAUACGCGAGCCGACAAGGUCGCCACUAUUCAAAGCAUAAUAACAUACGUAUGCCGACAAGGCUGCCACUACACAAUACACAAUGAUGUACGCAGCCGACAAGGCUGCCCCUGUACAAGCGGACAUCCCAAACAAACCAUGUCCAGACCAUUAUCCAAAACAUAUAUAUACAACCCACAUAAUGUCCACAGACCUCUAAGAGUACAUUAGUGAAACUCGACGGGACAGGGCCCCGCCAUACCCAUAGACGAGCAAAAGACUACACAAAAGUUAUGUACCAAAACGACUGGGCUUCGGAACAGUGGAGCUCUCCCAAUCAGCAGAGUAGAUAUCCUAGGCGGGAGGAUCACCGAACUGCGCGUCUACACCUGCGGGCAUGAAACGCAGCCCCCCGAGGAAAGGGGGGUCAGUACGGACAAUGUACUGAGUAUGUAAAGCAUAAGGUAAAGAUGACAGGAUACCAAUAUGGCAAGUCGAAACAAAAUAUCGCUACACAUAUACCUUUUAAGUGAAAAUCAUGCAUAUAUUUAACAUUUAAGGUGCCUAGCUUCCCUAGUAAGGGGCUCGGCAAAAUAAUCAUCACGUCAUCUCCGUCAUCAUCAUCAUCAUAACCAUCCUCAUCACCAAUCAUAUAUAUAAUAUACAUACCCGGCCCUCUAGUGAGGAACUCGGUGACAUAUGCAAGAAACUUCGCACGAACAUUACCCGGCCCGGGACUCGGUGAAAUGACAAAUGACUCUAUGCACGAGCAGAAUAUUAUGAGCAACCAUAUGCAAUUAAAAUCAUUUCUUAUAACUCAAUAGAAUAAUCAACGUGAACCAGCAAGGAGUAUUACCAAAGAUUAAUGUUUUAUCAAGAUUAUGAACCUUUAAUACGAUAUGGAAACGUAAAAUCUCAAUGACUCUAAGAGCAUUACCAUAGAUAUUAGAGAUCAUCAUAGCCUUAGACAUAGCCGAUAUAUAGAGGAAUAAUUGUGGAAGCAAGAAUAUACAUCACCUAGACGCUUUAGAGGUAAGUAUCAAAUCUGUCCGUUAUUCGCUUAUUUUUAAAAGUCAUGCCAAGCAAAGAAAGAAGGGACAACGUUACAUACCGUAUAAUCGAGCCGCACGUCCAAUAUUUACUGCUCAAGCUAUUAAUCUAUAACAAGCAACAAUCGUGCCGUAAUUAGAUAAACAUCGUGCUUUACUUUCUUGUAAGCUAGCUAAUAAUCUAACGAAAAUUCGGCAGCACCUCCCCUAUUUUCCUUACUUCGUCCCAAUCUGACAACAAUCCAAAUUAUCCACAGCAAUACCAAUAACACAUAUAACCCAAAGAAUCAUAUUAAACAGCCCCCUCCCCAAAACAGUUCCGUCUCGGCAACUAUAGCAGCGAAGCAACGACACACCAAGCGAUAACUCGUUUUAUAAUUCGCAACACAUCUACCUUAUCGUAUUCAUCCUUUGGAGUAUAUACUCAUAAUCACAUUCAACAUAUACAUAAUGCCAAAACAGAAUUUUCCUGCAGUUUGCUUUAAUCAAAACAGCCCAAGCACCAACACGACACCACUAAUAAUCCGAUUAUGGUUUCCACUCAUACUUAGCACAUUCAAUAACUAAAACAAACUUCCUAAGCUACUGGUCACGCCCCUUCUUAAAAUUAAUGGAUAAUUAAUAAGGGUAUUCUAAAGAAUUAACACACCAAACAAGGAGAUUACUAACCAAAUUAUUUGCAGCUGCUGGCCAAGAGUUGCAGGGUUGGUUUCUCCAUUUCCAUGGCUGCCUAAGACAAGUGGUGAAGAAGAAGAUGAUAUGCAGCAAUGCGUUUCACCACUUUAUAUAGCAUGGAGUGGAUUUCUCCACCUCAUUUAAUAGUAUGAAGUGGAGGCAGCCCCCUCUACACCUGUCCACUAAGGCCAGCCCACAAUCUGAUCCCUUUUUAAUUUUUGCCUUGAGUGGUGGGGCCCAUUGGAUUAAAUCAAUCCAAAUUAGCCACUAAUUAAUCCCUCACUUAAAGUUAAUGGCAUUUACAUUAGCCAACUCAUACUUAAUAUAACAUUUGGAAAUAACAUCCUUGCCUAAUAUUUCUUUACGUCUUCUAGAUCACGAUGCGCACUACGUAUAAAAAAAAUAUGAGGCAUAACAGUACAGGGGCAGCCUUGUCGGCUGCGUACAUCAUGGUGUAUAGUGUAGUGGCGGCCUUGUUGGCUCGCGUAUGCUGUUAUGGUUGAAUGGUUACGACUCCUUAUGAGACAGGUCCUCUUUAUAUAUAUGACGUUGGGGUUGUCUUGAUUUGAUUAAAUUCCAUAUUGUCUUAGUUUCAGUUGAUUAUACUUAGCAGGUUUGUAUGUGGGUGUCCAAAAUGGGCACUAGUCACGGCCCAUUGGGUUGGGUCGUGACAAAGAGUGGCAUCAGAGCGGUUCUUCCUCGGAAGUAUCUACAGACCGUGUCUAGUAGAGUCUUGUUUAUCCAUGUGAUGUGCACCACAUCUAUAAACAGGAAGCUACAGGACAUUUAGGAUGUCAUUCUUUCUUCUUAUUCUAGAUCGUGUGAUAGAGCUAUAAUAACAGGAUAAUCCCUCUCUAAAGAAUCCGUGUGUUUUCAGCUAUGCCUCCAAAGAAAUCGACAGCCGCCCAGAAGGGAAAAUCGGUAGCAGAAGGUACUAGUCAGACCCGGAGAGUUACUAGGGCCCGUGCCCCAGUCGGAGAGCUCUGCUACACCGCCACCGCUCCUCCCACCGCCAGAGGAGCUUAGAGCAGCAGUAGCUCCAGUUCGGGGGACACCACCAGCCCCCGAGGCCCCAAUACAUGAACCUCCAUCUCCUCAGUCAGGGGUGGAGGAUAGGGCCAUGAGAGAUGCAGUUCAAUUGCUGACUAGAUUAGUGGCAGAUCAGGCUCGCAGGCAUGGACUAGGAGUUGAUCAUGCGGACAGAUCUGAUAGCUUAAGGGCUCGUGACUUCUUGAGUUAUAAUCCUCCAGAUUUCUUUGGGUCAAGGCCCCAGGAUGAUCCGCAAGAGUUUAAUCGUCAGAUGUAGUGUACAUUGAGGAUAAUCAAGGAUUCGGAGACCGAGUCUGUUGAGUUGGCUACGUAUCGUUUGCGGGAUGUAGCUAUUAAUUGGUAUGAGUCUUGGGAGUUAUCUAGGGGUGAGGGUGCUCCUCCAGCGGUAUGGGAUGAAUUUGUGGAGGCUUUCCAGGGCCACUUCCUGCCUCCAGAGAUGAAGCGAGCUAGAGUCGAUAGAUUCUUGCAUUUGAAGCUAAAUGGCAGGAGCGUUCGAGAGUAUAGCCUCGAUUUGAUUCAUUGGCUAGGCAUGCGCCUACUAUUGUGGCUGAUAUGGCAGACAGGGUACAUCAUUAUGUGAUGGGAUUGGAUUGUUAUCUGAUUGAUGAUUGUAUGGCAGUGACUCUUCAGCCAGGUAUGGACAUUGCUCGAGUGCAGGCAUAUGCACAGGGGGUAGAGGAUCGGCACCAGGGACGUCAGCCAGAUAGAGAUUAUAAUAGAGGCCAGCAAAAGAGGGCUAGAUCAGCAGGUUAUCCUGACGAGUUUCGAAGCGGGCAGUCUCAGCAGCAUGUUAGAUUUUCUUCCCAGCCAGCACAGAGUGCACUUCCAUGUUUCAUGGGUAGGGGGUUCGAUCGUAUGGAAUAUUCGGAACCUGGUCAGAGCUCUAGGGCGUCAGGGUCACAGAUGGGCAGGGGUUUGAGCCAGUCGAGGCCACCUUUGCCUCGGUGUUCUCGUUGCGGUAAGUCCCAUCCUAGGGAAUGUCGUUGGGCUACGGGUGCGUGUUUUUCUUGUGACCGUCAGGGCCAUACUAUGAGGGAGUGUCACCUUAGAGGUAGUGCGGGUGGUAUGGCACAGCCUACAGGGUCCGUUGCUGGUUCAUCUUCUUCUGUGGCUAUGCGCCCUACGGGGCAGGGUAUUCAGGCACCAGCAGGCCGUGGUAGAGGACGUGGUGGAGCUUCCAGUUCUAGCGGUCCCUCAAACCGUAUAUAUGCUUUGACUAAUAGGCAAGAUCAGGAGGCGUCACUUAAUGUGAUCACAGGUAUAUUAUCACUAUUCUCCCGAAGUGUGUAUGCAUUGAUAGACCCAGGUUCCACCUUAUCAUAUAUAUCUCCCUUUGUUGCUAGUAGGAUCGGAAUAGAGUCUGAGUUGAUAGAACCAUUUGAGGUAGCUACACCUGUAGGAGAUUUUGUCAUAGCUACGCGAGUAUAUAGGAAUUGUUCAGUAGCUAUAUAUAGUCGUCAUACCGUAGCAGAUCUAAUAGAGUUAAAUAUGAUUGAGUUUGAUAUUAUCAUGGGCAUGGAUUGGUCGGCUGCUUGUUAUGCUAAUGUUAAUUGUAGAGGAAAGAUAGUUCGAUUUCAAUUUCCAGGGGAACCGAUUAUAGAGUGGAAGGGAAGUACAGUAUCGCCAAAAGGUAAGUUUAUUUCAUACCUCAAGGCCGGGAAGAUGGUUAGAAAAGGCUAUAUUUACCAUCUGAUUCGGGUGCAUGACAUAAAGGCAGAGGCACCGACUCUUCAAUCAGUCCCGGUAGUUAAUGAAUUUCCUGAUGUAUUCCCUUAGGAACUUCCAGGCCUUCCUCCAGAACGGGAGAUAGAGUUUACUAUAUAGAUGUACUGCCAGAUACCCAGCCUAUAUCUAUACCUCCUUAUAGAAUGGCACCUGCUGAGUUGAAAGAAUUGAAAGAGCAAUUGAGGGAUUUGCUAGAAAAGGGCUUCAUCAGGCCUAGUACGUCACCUUGGGGGGCACGAGUACUGUUUGUGAGGAAGAAGGAUGGGUCGCUGCGGAUGUGCAUUGAUUAUAGGCAGUUGAACAAAGUAACAAUAAAGAACAGGUAUCCCCUCCCAAGGAUUGACGAUCUAUUUGACCAGUUACAGGGUGCAAAGUGUUUUUUAAAGAUAGACUUGCGGUCAGGUUAUCAUCAGGUGCGGGUAAGGGAGGCAGAUAUUCCAAAGAUGGCAUUCCAGACCCGAUAUGGGCAUUAUGAGUUUAGAGUGCUGUCUUUUGGGCUGACUAAUGCUCCAGCGGUGUUCAUGGAUUUAAUGAAUCGAGUAUUUAAAUCAUUCCUUGAUAUGUUUGUUAUUGUAUUUAUAGACGAUAUUCUGGUCUAUUCACGUUCAAAAGAGGAGCAUGCAGACAAUUUAAGGACGGUACUUAGGGUGCUUCAGCACCAGAAGUUGUAUGCUAAAUUUUCUAAGUGCGAGUUCUGGUUGACUUCAGUGGCAUUCUUGGGGCAUAUUAUUGGAGCUGAUGGUAUUCGGGUAGACACGCAGAAGAUUGAGGCGGUAAAGAUUUGGCCCAGACCUACGACACCUACUGAGGUACGCAGCUUUCUGGGGUUAGCAGGAUAUUACAGGAGAUUCAUAGAAAAGUUUGCCUCAAUUUAAGCGCUUUCACAAGGCUAACUCAAAAGGCAGCCAAGUUCCAGUGGACUGAUGCUUGUGAGCGAAGCUUCCAGCUAUUGAAAGACAAAUUGACUACAACUCCAGUCUUAACUCUUCCGGAGGGACCAGACGGCUAUGUUAUUUAUUGUGAUGCUUCGGGUGUUGGGCUAGGAUGUGUAUAGAUGCAGCAUGGCAAAGUUAUAGCCUAUGCCUCCCGACAACUUAGGAAGCAUGAAAAGAACUAUCCUACUCACGAUAUGGAGUUAGCGGUCGUGGUUCAUGCCUUUAAGAUAUGGAGACAUUAUUUAUAUGGUGUCCAUGUGGACAUCUAUACAGAUCAUAAGAGUCUCCAAUACAUCUUUAAACAGAAGGAGCUGAACGUACGACAGAGGCGGUGGUUAGAGUUGCUAAAGGAUUAUGAUGUUGAUAUUAUAUAUCAUCCAGGGAAAGCGAAUAUUGUAGCAGAUGCUCUUAGCCGUAAGUCCAUGGGUAGCUUGACAGAUGUACAACCAGAAAGGAGGGAUAUGGUUCGGGAGAUUCAACGGCUAUCCAACCUUGGAGUCCAUCUAGCUAAUUCGGAAGAUAGUAAAGUUUCUAUUCGAGAGGUUGCUGAGUCCUCAAUCAUAGAUGAGGUAAAGAGACACCAAUACAAGGACCCUAUUCUGGCACAGUAUAGAGAUGCAGCUCUUCAAAAGGAAAAGACCCCAUUUAAGGUUACACCUGACGGAGUGUUACGAUAUGAAGGCAGAUUGUGUGUACCCGAUACUGCGGGGCUACGACGGCAGGUUAUGGGAGAGGCACACUCUGCCCGUUAUUCUAUUCACCCAGGGUCAACGAAAAUGUAUCAUGACCUCAGAUGCUUAUAUUGGUGAGAUGGCAUGAAAAAGGACAUAGCGGAGUUUGUUGCUCAGUGCCCGAAUUGUCAACAAGUCAAGAUCGAACAUCAAAAACCUGGUGGAUUAUUACAGGAGAUAGAGAUCCCGACUUGGAAAUGGGAGAUGAUUAAUAUGGACUUCAUUACUGGCUUACCUCGCACUCAACGGAAGUAUGACUCUAUAUGGGUUAUUGUAGAUAGGCUGAUGAAAUCGGCCCAUUUUCUUCCAGUCAGGACUACUUAUUCGGCUGAAGAUUAUGCGAGGUUAUAUGUCAGGGAGAUAGUGAGACUUCAUGGGGUUCCCACGUCCAUUAUAUCAGACAGAGGAGCUCAAUUUACAGCCAACUUUUGGAGAUCAUUUCAGAAGGGAUUGGGGACACAGGUGAACCUUAGCACAGCAUUUCACCCUCAGACGGAUGGGCAGGCUGAGCGUACUAUUCAGACACUGGAAGAUAUGUUGCGGGCCUGUAUUUUUGACUUCAAAGGUAGCUGGGAUGACCACUUGCCGCUCAUUGAGUUUGCCUAUAAUAAUAGCUACCAUUCUAGUAUCCAGAUGGCACCGUACGAGGCCUUAUAUGGGAGGAAGUGCAGAUCACCUAUUGAUUGGUUUGAUGUUGGCGAGACUAAGUUAAUAGGCCCAGAUGUGAUUCAGCAAGCUGUUGACAAGGUGAAGCUUAUUCAAGAAAGAUUAUUAGCAGCCCAGAGUCGACAGAAGUCAUAUGCAGAUAAUCGGCGUCGAGAUUUGGAGUUUCAGAUUGGUGACUGGGUAUUCUUGAAGGUAUCACCUAUGAGGGGUGUGAUGAGAUUCGGAAGGAAGGGGAAGCUCAGUCCGAGAUACAUUGGGCCUUAUCAGAUUGUUCGUAGGAGAGGCAAGGUUGCCUAUGAGUUGGAUCUACCAUCUGAUUUGGAGGCGGUACAUCCAGUCUUCCAUGUAUCGAUGCUACGUAAAUGUAUUGGUGAUCCUUCUAGAGUAUUCCCCGUAGAUGAUAUUCAGGUAACAGAGGAGUUGUCAUAUGAGGAGAAACCCGUGGCUAUACUUGAUCGUCAAGUUAGAAGGUUACGUAGUAAGGAUGUGGCUUCCAUCAAAGUGUUGUGGCAAAAUAACAAUAGGGAGGAGAUGACUUGGGAAACGGAAGACGAAAUGAAGAAUAAGUAUCCUUACUUGUUCCCCGUACCUGCAGGUAAUUCAAUUCCUAGCUUGACUAUAUUGAUAGAUAAUGAGAUUAUGUAGCUGUGAGGCAUCUGUAAGUUACAGAAUGCAGGUUGAUAGGUAUAACUUUUAGAGAGACCUCGCUGGAAUUUGUUUUUGCAAGACGCUAACUUAACAUUCGAGGACGGAUGUUCCUAAGGGGGGAAGGAUGUUAUGCCUCGUAUUUUUUUUAUACGUAGUGCGCAUCGUGAUCUAGUAGACGUAAGUCCGGGGAAUGAGAUUUUAUUUUAAGUUCCAAGUGAUUAAAGAAAUAUUAGGUAAGGAUGUUAUUUCCAAAUGUGAUAUUAAGUAUAAGUUGGCUAAGGUAAGUGUCAUUAACUUUAAGUGAGGGAUUAAUUAGUGGCUAAUUUGGAUUGAUUUAAUCCAAUGGGCCCCACCACUCAUAAUUGGUGGCUGAUUAGGAUUAAUUUAAUCCAGUGGGCCCCACCACUCAUAAUUGGUGGCUGAUUAGGAUUAAUUUAAUCCAGUGGGCCCCACCACUCAAGGCAAAAAUUAAAAAGGGAUCAGAUUGUGAGCUGGCCUUAAUGGACAGGUGUAGGGGGGCUGCCUCCACCUCAUACUAUUAAAUGAGGUGGAGAAAUCCACUCCAUGCUAAAUAAAGUGGUGAAAUGCAUUGCUGCAUAUCAUCUUCUUCUUCACCACUUGCAGCCAUGGAAAUGGAGAAACCAACCCUGCAACUCUUGGCCAGCAACUGCAAAUAAUUUGGUUAGUAAUCUCCUUGUUUGGUGUGUUAAUUCUUUAGAAUACCUUUGUUAAUUAUCCAUUAAUUUUAAGAAGGGGGCGUGACCAGUAGCUUAGGAAGUUUGUUUUAGUUAUUGAAUGUGCUAAGUAUGAACGGAAACCAUAAUCGGAUUAUUAGUGGUGUCGUGUUGGUGCUUGGACUGUUUUGAUUAAAGCAAACUGCAGGAAAAUUCUGUUUUGGCAUUAUGCAUAUAUUGAAUGUGAUUAUGAGUAUAUACUUCAAAGGAUGAAUACGAUAAGGUAGAUGUGCUGCGAAUUAUAAAACGAGUUAUCACUCGGUGUGUCGUUGCUUCGCUGAUAUAGUUGCCGAGAUGGAACUGUUUUGGGGAGGGGGCUGUUUAAUAUGAUUCUUUGGGUUAUAUGUGUUAUUGGUAUUGCUGUGGAUAAUUUGGAUUGUUGUCGGAUUGGGACGAAGUAAGGAAAAUAGGGGAGGUGCUGCCGAAUUUUUGUUAGAUUAUUAGCUAGCUUACAAGAAAGUAAAGCACGAUGUUUAUCUAAUUGCGGCACGAUUGUUGCUUGUUAUAGAUUAAUAGCUUGAGCAGUAAAUAUUGGACGUGCGGCUCGAUUAUACGGUAUGUAACGCUGUCCCUUCUUUCUUUGCUUGGCAUGACUUUUAAAAAUAAGCGAAUAACGGACAGAUUUGAUACUUACCUCUAAAGCGUCUAGGUGAUGUAUAUUCUUGCUUCCACAAUUAUUCCUCUAUAUAUCGGCUAUGUCUAAGGCUAUGAUGAUCUCUAAUAUCUAUGGUAAUGCUUCUUAGAGUCAUUGAGAUUUUACGUUUCCAUAUCGUAUUAAAGGUUCAUAAUCUUGAUAAAACAUUAAUCUUUGGUAAUACUCCUUGCUGGUUCACGUUGAUUGUUCUAUUGAGUUAUAAGAAAUGAUUUUUAUUUGCAUAUGGUUGCUCAUAAUAUUCUGCUCGUGCAUAGAGUCAUUUAUCAUUUCACCGAGUUCCGGGCCGGGUAAUGUUCGUGCAGAGUUUCUUGCAUAUGUCACCGAGUUCCUCACUAGAGGGCCGGGUAUGUAUAUUAUAUAUAUGAUUGGUGAUGAGGAUGGUUAUGAUGAUGAUGAUGACGGAGAUGACGUGAUGAUUAUUUUGCCGAGCCCCUUACUAGGGAAGCUGGGCACCUUAUAUGUUAAAGAUAUGCAUGAUUUUCACUUAAAAGGGUGCAUGUGUAGCGAUAUUGUUUCAACUUGCCAUAUUGGUAUCCUGUCAUCUUUACCUUAUGCUUUACAUACUCAGUACAUUGUCCGUACUGACCCCCUUUCCUCGGGGGGCUGCGUUUCAUGCCCCCAGGUGUAGACGCACAGUUCGGUGAUCCUCCCGCCUAGGAUAUCUACUCUUCUGAGUGGGAGAGCUCCACUGUUCCGGAGCCCAGUCAUUUUGGUACAUAACUUUUGUGUAGUCUUUUGCUCGUCUAUGGGUAUGGCGGGGCCCUGUCCCGUCGAGUUUCACUAAUGUACUCUUAGAGGUCUGUGGACAUUAUGUGGGUUGUAUAUAUAUGUUUUGGAUAAUGGUCUGGACAUGGUUUGUUUGGGAUGUCCGCUUGUACAGGGGCAGCCUUGUCAGCUGCGUACAUCAUGGUGUAUUGUGUAGUGGCGGCCUUGUCGGCUCGCGUAUGCUGUUAUGGUUGAAUGGUUACGACUCCUUAUGAGACAGGUCCUCUUUAUAAUAUAUAUGACGUUGGGGUUGGCUUGAUUUGAUUAAGUUCCAUAUUGUCUCAGUUUCAGUUGAUUAUACUUAGCAGGUUUAUAUGUGGGUGUCCAAAACGGGCACUAGUCACGGCCCAUUGGGUUGGGUCGUGACACUAUGUUCAUGUUUCUGUACUACUUUUGCAAGUUGUCCACCUUUCUUCGGUGUGGUGUUCCAUUACACCCAAUUACAUAUUAGCUCAUGUGGUCUAUGUCAAUUAAGGCUAGAUGUUCCCAAAAGGUAAAAUGAACUAAGGGAAUGAACUCAAACUUGGUUGGCCUAAGGGGUUUAGCUUAGUCAAGGUAGGGGUAUGGACCCUACCUAAACAUUGUACUAUUUAUCCUUGAAGGAAGUCUUAGGAGGAUGUUCUUAUUUAUGUAUAUGCCUAUAAUGGUACAUGAUAUGUAUAUGAUGUCCUUGCACAUUGAUUAUACUACAUUAUGAGUGUUUUCACUUAUGAAUAUGUAUUUAGUCUCUAUUUCUAAAGUAUGAUGAUAUGUACUCUUAAAUGAUAUGCCUGGUGAAGUUCAAUUUUGACCAUGGUUCUUGUUAGGUUACUUGAUUGAGUAAGGUUAAUGGUGUUUGAUUGGUCGUUGCACUUGUUGAAUUGAUAUGGGUUCAAGGUAAUUAUCUUGCUUUGUUUAUGUUGUCUAUGGUUGUUACUACUAUAGCUUUAUGAUAGAGUUGUAUUGACUAAGUGUUCAAGUAUAUUUAUAUUCGCUUGACUUGAUUCUACUUAAGGUUGUUUGGUCUUGUAUAGUACAUGAUAUUGACUUGAUAAAUAUAUGUUAAUAACUUUCAUUGGUUCUUGAAUAUGCAUAAGGCUUUCUAAAUGUAAAAACAACAUGUUCUAUGAAACGUCCCUUUUUAGCAUGAUUUCAUGAUAUGUGUGCAUAUGGUCUAAUACUUAGCACAAACCCCAUUUUCCUUCCUUUUUCCCCAACAUUUUAGGUUCUGGUCGUUGAAGGGAUUUUUAGAAGACUUUGAAGGAAGACUUGGAAUUCUCAUUCAUCUAAACUGGUUAGGUCCUCACAUUCCGAGUGCAAUGACUCUAUCAAGCUUAUGAAGUUGUUCUAGUUUAAAGAAACUUAUGUACUUUCAUUUUCAUUUAGGUAAUAAAAACUGUAUAGCAAAUAUAUGGCACUUAUUUAUUGAUGUAUGGGCCAGGCUCAAAUUGUAACGCUCUUGUUAGAUGGUCAUGAGAUUAGAAAUCCAUUUCAGACUGCGUUAUAUCUUAGAUAUAUGUGCCAAUAAAAGUAGAAAACUAUGUAAUCUUCAUAUACAAAGGGUUUAUGUAUAAACUAUAUAAAUAAUAUUUAUAUGUAGAGGUCUAUGUAAACCUUAACGUAGAAGUAAUUAAUUUUUUAAAAAUUUCAACAUUUUUAACCUAUGAUGUAAUGAUGUAAACUAAGAGACUAGUCUUUGUCCACAAAGAGGACGAUGACGCCUGCUACGUCUAGGGGUUACUCCCAGGAUGUGACAGAUGGAUUGUGAUGUAGUGAUACAAUUGGCUUAGUUAUCAUGUUUGUUUUUAUUGUGUGAUGUUAAACCUUAUUUAGUCAAGUUAAGAUUGAUGGUAGGUAAGGACUUGGUGAUGGAUUAUGAAGGAGACUUGGUAAGUCUUGUGAUACCUAUUUUUUAUUUCAAUUGUGGUUAAUUGUGAUUAAGUAAUGUUAUUGCUUUGAGUAUACUUUGUAUUAAGAUUUAUAGGGUUGGUAUGAUGUUGAAUUGAAAUGUCUUGACUAUGGUCUGUGAGGUGUUUGCUAAGAUGCAAAUGUUAUAAGGAUGGUGAUACUUACCAACGUGCAUUAUUAUGAUGUAAUUAUGUAAAUGUGCUAAUUUCACUUAUAUGAAUUGUAAUGAAAGUACAAUAAUCAUAUAAUUAUUAUUUAGCUAAGACGAUGAUAUAGGAUAGACCCUAUGACCUAAAUUAAGUUUUGAUAGUAAUGGACAACUUAAGAACAUUUCAAAAGGGACGUUAGCUUAGUACCGAGUGAACUUGAAAAUUGGAGGUGUUGACUUUCCAUAGAGGAAGAUUCACCCUAUAACUCCACAUGAGGUGUUGACUCCCUUAUGAGGGAUACUCAUCCUAGGGAUUCCCAUGAGAUGAGGCUCCAAUUGCCAAGUGGCAUGUAGAGAGGUCAUACCUAUCUCUUAGUUCUUGAACUACAUUGCCUCCAUAGGAAGACUAGCUAGUGGAUCCAACUAGAUAGCUAGGUUUAUGUUUGAUUUUACUUGUGGUGGUAUACCACCUCUAUCGGUCUAUGAUUUCAUAACACCGGAUUCCACACUUAGCUCUUAUGGUCUAUGUCGGUUAAGGAAAUUGUUUCCUAAACUUAAAUGAAGUGAUGAAUUACAAACAAACUAAGCUGACUCAAGAGGUUUGGCUUAGCCUAGGUAGGGUAUGGUACUCUACCUAUGCCUCUCACUAGUUUGCCUUGAAGGAAGAUUUAGAAAGUUGUUCUUAUAUAUGAAUAUUCUUCUAAUGGUACAUUAUAUGUAUAUGAUGACCUUGCACAUUGAUGAUACUACAUGAUGGUCCCAGGGAAUCUCUCUUAUAGUAGGAGUGGUUUGACUUAUGAAUAUGUGUUUGGUCUCUAUUUCUAAAGUAUGAUGAUAUGCACUUUUAAAUGAUAUGCUAUGUGAAGUUGGAUAUUGACCGUCGUUCAUGUUGGGGUUACUUGAUUGACGAAGGUUAUGGGGCUUUGCUUGGUCAUUGAACUAGUUGAAUUAAUGAGGGUUUAUCGAAAAUCGUCUUACUUUAGUCAUGUUGUAACAAACUCUAAUGUAUUAAUGUGUUGACUUCACUAGACUUAGUAUUGUGGGUCUUGUGAUGUACAAGUUUUUUACUUAAUGAAUAUGCCUUAUUGAUUGGCAUUGACUUCUUGAAUAUGCAUAAAGCUUUUCAAAGUAUAUUGCAUACAUUAAUGAAUUGUCUCUUUUUAGCAUGAUUCAUGAUAUGUUUGUAUAUGGUCCCAUAUUUAGUACAAGUGCUGUAAUAUCCCCAUUUUCUCCAUUUUCCUAAAUAUUUUAGGUUCCGAUCGUUGAAGUGCUUUUGAGACGACUUUGAAGGAAGACUUUGAAUUCUCACUCAUCCAUGUUGGGUAGAUCCUCACUUUUCAAGGGUCGUUCCACUAUCAAGCUACUGAAGUUAUUCUAGUUUAAAGAAUUCUAUGUUUGUUCCCUUUCAUUUGAGUAAUAAACAUUGUGUAGACUAUAUAUGGGUCUCAUUACGUUGAUGUAUAGGCUAGGCACAAAUUAUCAUACUCAUGUUAGAUGGUUAUGACAUGAGACAUCCAUUUGAGACUGUAUUAUAUCUUAUAUAUAUGUUAAUUAGAAGUUGAAGACUAUGUAAUCUUCCUAUACGAAAGGUCUAUCUAUACUCGAUAUGACUAUAUUAUGUGUAUGGUAGAGGUCUAUGUAAACUACAUGAUAAAUAUUGAAAUUUUUUAAAAAUUUCUGCAUUUUUAACCUAUGAAUGUAAUGAUGUAAGCUAAGAGGCUAGUCAUAGUCCUCCAAGAGGAUGCCGGUGCCGGUUAUGUCUAGAGGGUGCUCCUCGGAUGUGAUAUAACUAUUGUAGGCAGCCCUAGUGGACACUUUUUGGUAAGGUUUAUUGUAAUUUCGUUAUGAACAAGAUAUUCUACCUCUUUAUAUGCUCAUUUAUUGAAUUUCCCUAUGAUAAUAAAGGUUAGAACCGUGUGAGUAUGCUUGUGUAGUAGGUCUAGUUAAGAAGGACGCUGGAGUACAAAGAAACCCUCUAUCUUCCUUAACGAUGUGCCCACAUGGGAUGUGUUCUAAUUUUUCUAUUGGCAAGUACAACACCCUCCAUCGAAGUAGAUUUAUGACACCAUAUUCCAUGAUUAACUAACAUGGUCUAUGUCGGUUAUUUCCUAUUCUAAUCAUGUGUGAUACAUGCUAGUGUGGGAUAAGUACUAUGAAGUUUAGGUACUGGAAUGGGAUGCUAUCUAGACAUUGCAUGAUUAGGAAUUAAAAUUUUUAGUGUGUGAGUCCCUGGGUCUUCUCCCAGACCAUUAUGUGAUUCUCCAUGAGUGAUGGAUGUAUUUGAAAUGACUUAAGGAACAUAAUGACUUAAGUAGAGGUAUGUUAAUGAAAAGGUACCUAUCUAGGGUGUCUUUAAGCGUUGCUUAGAUAGACUUCAAGAGGGUGUAUGGGUGGUCUCUUCAUGUUUUACACAAGUGAAUCUUAGAGUAACUUAGGUGGUGAAAAUAUGUUGAGAAGGGAAUAAUCUUAUGUUAGUUAAUUUAAAGGAUCUAUUUGGUGUGUGAAAGGAUUGUAUGGGCGGUCGCUUCAUAAUUCUCUCAAGUGAGCCUUAGAAUCGCAUUUAUUAAAUGGGCCUCAUGUUAUGUGUUUUGAACUAAUAUUGAUGCUAUAUUAUGAAAUGUGACAAUAUGUGCUUAUGGUGACUUGUAAGUGACUCUUAUACUUGUAUUAUGAAGUUUUACUCUAAAAGAACAUGAUUUAUACAAAUGUCAUUUUCAUGAUGUCAUACUUAAUACAUGAAAUGAACUAAUUUCAUACAUUUUGUCUAUCUAAAGGUUUACGUGGCUUUUAAGAGGGAGUAUGUGAAGUUGAAGCUUGGAUUAGUAUUCAUUCAAGUACAAGUUGGUAUGUCCUCACUAGAUUCGAGGAAUUAUGAUGCUUAGAUUUCUUUUAAUGAAAGUAUUGUAAUAAACUUAGUAUUUCAGUAUUCAAUUGUAUGGGUCGUGUCCCAAGAUAUUCAUGUGUCUAAGAUGGCAACUUUGAGAAUUAGACUUCCAUUAUGAUUUUUCAUAAAAUAGAUAUUUUGAAGUAUUACUAUUUCGUGUGAAAUGUUUUAUUUCUGCAAUACUAUUCGUACAUGUUAUCCAAUGAUUGAUGUCAAAAGGCUUGUACUAGACCUCUGUGAGGUCAGUAUAUUGUGUGACAACACGAGAAUUUCCUAAAUUCUGGGGCGGUACUUCGGGUCAUUAAAAAGUUGGUAUUUGAGCAUAAGGUUUUGGGAGUAGUUAUUAGGAUUCAAAGACUCAAAAUGUCACGUUUAGUAGAGUCUUGUUCAUUGGUGUGAGUCGCAACACAUCCAUAAGCGAGAGGCUAUAGGACGAUAGAGUUUCCCUUCUUCUUUACUCAUGUGUUGUGCCGUAGAGUUAAAAGGUUAUAAAUGUCCUUUAUUAAUAUUUUCUUUUAUGUUUAUAGGAGAUGAUACGAGGAGUACAUCUUCUAGGAUGGUUGAUGAGGAGGUGGUGAUUCGGGAAGUUCCUCCCCGAGUUGAGCAAGUUCCUCAAGAUGGACAAGGAGAUCAAGUUCCACAAGGUGCUAAAAUUCAUCCCCAAGGAGAUCAAGUCUCAAUUUGGGUGGAGGUAAUGAUGUUUCGAAGGUUCCCCCAGACAUGACUACUGGGAAUUAGAGAUGCUUUACUUUCCCUAGCCCGAUCUAUGACUACUCAUGCGACUAGAGAUGUUGGGACUAGGAUAAAUGAUUUGGAGAGAACUAUGACAUCUAGAUUGAGAGAACUUUGAGAGGAUGAAUAAUCCUAUAUUUCUUUUCUCUAUGGUGGGAGAGGAUCCCCAAGAUUUUAUUGAUGGUGUGUAUAAGGUGUUGAGUGCUAUGGGGGUGACUUCUAUGGAGGAGGUGGAGUUAGCUUCGUCCAAAAUGAAAUAUGCUAAGCAAGUAUGGUACACUUGAUGGAAAGAUAAUAGGUCGGUUGAGUCGGGUCCCAUAAAAUAGGAGAUGUUUAAAAAUGUCUGCUUAGAAAAGUACAUUUCCUUUGAGAGGAGUUAGGUAAAAGUUGAGGAGUUCAUUAACCUAAAACAAGACGAUAUGAGUGUUGAAAAGUAUUCAUUGAUGUUUACCAUGUUGUCAAGAUACACUCCAUCAUUCGUGUCUAACCAUCGGAAUGAGAUGAGAAGGUUUGUGUCACGACCCAACCCGAUAGGUCGUGAUUAGUGCCCGUUUUGGACACCCACAUACAAACCUGCUAAGUAUGACCAACUGAAACUAAGACAAUAUGGAAUUUAAUCAAAUCAAGCCAACCCCAACGUCAUAUAUAUAUAUAAGAAGACCUGUCUCAUAAGGAGUCAUAACCAUUCAACCAUAACAGCAUACGCGAGCCGACAAGGCCGCCACUAUUCAAAGCAUAAUGAUGUACGCAGCCGACAAGGCUGCCCCUGUACAAGCGGACAUCCAAAACAAACCAUGUCCAGACCAUUAUCCAAAACAUAUAUAUACAACCCACAUAAUGUCCACAGACAUCUAAGAGUACAUUAGUGAAACUCGACGGGACAGGGCCCCGCCAUACCCAUAGACGAGCAAAAGACUACACAAAAGUUAUGUACCCAAACGACUGGGCUCCGGAACAGUGAAGCUCUCCCAAUCAGCAGAGUAGAUAUCCUAGGCGGGAGGAUCACCGAACUGCGCGUCUACACCUGCGGGCAUGAAACGCAGCCCCCCCGGAGGAAAGGGGGGUCAGUACGGACAAUGUACUGAGUAUGUAAAGCAUAAGGUAAAGAUGACAGGAUACCAAUGUGGCAAGUUGAAACAAAAUAUCACUACACAUAUACUUUUUAACUGAAAAUCAUGCAUAUAUUUAACAUUUAAGGUGCCCAGCUUCCCUAGUAAGGGGCUCGGAAAAAUAAUCAUCACGUCAUCUCCGUCAUCAUCAUCAUCAUAACCAUCCUCAUCACCAAUCAUAUAUAUAAUAUACAUACCCGGCCCUCUAGUGAGGAACUCGGUGACAUAUGCAAGAAACUCCGCACGAACAUUACCCGGCCCGGGACUCGGUGAAAUGAUAAAUGACUCUAUGCACGAGCAGAAUAUUAUGAGCAACCAUAUGCAAAUAAAAAUCAUUUCUUAUAACUCAAUAGAACAAUCAACGUGAACCAGCAAGGAGUAUUACCAAAGAUUAAUGUUUUAUCAAGAUUAUGAACCUUUAAUACGAUAUGGAAACGUAAAAUCUCAAUGACUCUAAGAAGCAUUACCAUAGAUAUUAGAGAUCAUCAUAGCCUUAGACAUAGCCGAUAUAUAGAGGAAUAAUUGUGGAAGCAAGAAUAUACAUCACCUAGACGCUUUAGAGGUAAGUAUCAAAUCAGUCCGUUAUUCGCUUAUUUUUAAAAGUCAUGCCAAGCAAAGAAAGAAGGGACAGCGUUACAUACCGUAUAAUUGAGCCGCACGUCCAAUAUUUACUGCUCAAGCUAUUAAUCUAUAACAAGCAACAAUCGUGCCGCAAUUAGAUAAACAUCGUGCUUUACUUUCUUGUAAGCUAGCUAAUAAUCUAACGAAAAUUCGGCAGCACCUCCCCUAUUUUCCUUACUUCGUCCCAAUCCGACAACAAUCCAAAUUAUCCACAGCAAUACCAAUAACACAUAUAACCCAAAGAAUCAUAUAAACAGCCCAAGCACCAACAUGACACCACUAAUAAUCCGAUUAUGGUUUCCAUUCAUACUUAGCACAUUCAAUAACUAAAACAAACUUCCUAAGCUACUGGUCACGCCCCCUUCUUAAAAUUAAUGGAUAAUUAACAAGGGUAUUCUAAAGAAUUAACACACCAAACAAGGAGAUUACUAACCAAAUUAUUUGCAGCUGCUGGCCAAGAGUUGCAGGGUUGGUUUCUCCAUUUCCAUGGCUGCCUAAGACAAGUGGUGAAGAAGAAGAUGAUAUGCAGCAAUGCAUUUCACCACUUUAUAUAGCAUGGAGUGGAUUUCUCCACCUCAUUUAAUAGUAUGAAGUGGAGGCAGGCCCCCUCUACACCUGUCCACUAAGGCCAGCCCACAAUCUGAUCCCUUUUUAAUUUUUGCCUUGAGUUGUGGGGCCCAUUGGAUUAAAUCAAUCCAAAUUAGCCACUAAUUAAUCCCUCACUUAAAGUUAAUGGCACUUACAUUAACCAACUCAUACUUAAUAUCACAUUUGGAAAUAACAUCCUUGCCUAAUAUUUCUUUACGUCUUCUAGAUCACGAUGCGCACUACGUAUAUAAAAAAAAUACGAGGCAUAACAUCCUUCCCCCCUUAGGAACAUUCGUCCUCGAAUGUUAAGUUAGCGUCUUGCAAAAACAAAUUCCAGCGAGGUCUCUCUAAAAGUUAUACCGAUCAACCUGCAUUCCGUAACUUACAGAUGCCUCACAGCUACAUAAUCUCAUUAUCUAUCAAUAUAGUCAAGCUAGGAAUUGAAUUACCUGCAAGUACGGGGAACAAGUAAGGAUACUUAUUCUUCAUUUCGUCUUCCGCUUCCCAAGUCAUCUCCUCCCUAUUGUUAUUUUGCCACAACACUUUGACGGAAGCCACAUCCUUAGUACGUAACCUUCUAACCUGACGAUCAAGUAUAGCCACGGGUUUCUCCUCAUAUGACAACUCCUAGUCCAUGCCUGCGAGCCUGAUCUGCCACUAAUCUAGUCAGCAAUUGAACCGCAUCUCUCAUGGCCCUAUCCUCCGCUCCUGACUAAGGAGCUGGAGGUUCAGAUGUUGGGGCCUCGGGGGCUGGUGGUGUCCCCCGAACUGGAGCUGCUGCUGCUCUAAGCUCUUCUGGCGGUGGGGGUGUAGCAGAGCUCUCCGACCGGAGCAUAAUACCAGGCAUAGACUGGGCACGGGCCCUAGUAACUCUCCGGGUCUGACUAGUACCUUCUGCUACUGAUUUUCCCUUCUGGGCGGCUGUCACUUUCUUUGGAGGCAUAGCUGAAAACACACGGAUUCGUUAGAGAGGGAUUAUCCUGUUAAUAUAGCUCUAUCGCACGAUCUAGAAUAAGAAGAAAGAAUGACAUCAUAAAUGUCCUGUAGCUUCCUGUUUAUAGAUGUGGUGCACAACACACCGAUAAACAAGACUCUACUAGACACGGUCUGUAGACACUUCCGAGGAAGAACCGCUCUGAUACCACUCUUUGUCACGACCCAACCCGAUAGGCCGUGAUUAGUGCCCGUUUUGGACACCCACAUACAAACCUGCUAAGUAUGACCAACUGAAACUAAGACAAUAUGGAAUUUAAUCAAAUCAAGCCAACCCCAACAUCAUAUAUAUAUAUAAGAGGACCUGUCUCAUAAGGAGUCAUAACCAUUCAACCAUAACAGCAUACGCGAGCCGACAAGGCCGCCACUAUUCAAAGCAUAAUGAUGUACGCAGCUGACAAGGCUGCCCCUGUACAAGCGGACAUCCCAAACAAACCAUGUCCAGACCAUUAUCCAAAACAUAUAUAUACAACCCACAUAAUGUCCACAGACCUCUAAGAGUACAUUAGUGAAACUCGACGGGACAGGGCCCCGCCAUACCCAUAGACGAGCAAAAGACUACACAAAAGUUAUGUACCAAAACGACUGGGCUCCGGAACAGUGGAGCUCUCCCAAUCAGCAGAGUAGAUAUCCUAGGUGGGAGGAUCACCGAACUGCGCGUCUACACCUGCGGGCAUGAAACGCAGCCCCCCGAGCAAAGGGGGGUCAGUACGGACAAUGUACUGAGUAUGUAAAGCAUAAGGUAAAGAUGACAGGAUACCAAUGUGGCAAGUCGAAACAAAAUAUCGCUACACAUAUACUUUUUAACUGAAAAUCAUGCAUAUAUUUAACAUUUAAGGUGCCCAGCUUCUCUAGUAAGGGGCUCGGCAAAAUAAUCAUCACGUCAUCUCCGUCAUCAUCAUCAUUAUAACUAUCCUCAUCACCAAUCAUAUAUAUAAUAUACAUACCCGGCCCUCUAGUGAGGAACUCGGUGACAUAUGCAAGAAACUCCGCACGAACAUUACCCGGCCCGGGACUCGGUGAAAUGAUAAAUGACUCUAUGCACGAGCAGAAUAUUAUGAGCAACCAUAUGCAAAUAAAAAUCAUUUCUUAUAACUCAAUAGAACAAUCAACGUGAACCAGCAAGGAGAAUUACCAAAGAUUAAUGUUUUAUCAAGAUUAUGAACCUUUAAUACGAUAUGGAAACGUAAAAUCUCAAUGACUCUAAGAAGCAUUACCAUAGAUAUUAGAGAUCAUCAUAGCCUUAGACAUAGCCGAUAUAUAGAGGAAUAAUUGUGGAAGCAAGAAUAUACAUCACCUAGACGCUUUAGAGGUAAGUAUCAAAUCUGUCCGUUAUUCGCUUAUUUUUAAAAGUCAUGCCAAGCAAAGAAAGAAGGGACAGCGUUACAUACCGUAUAAUUGAGCCGCACGUCCAAUAUUUACUGCUCAAGCUAUUAAUCUAUAACAAGCAACAAUCGUGCCGCAAUUAGAUAAACAUCGUGCUUUACUUUCUUGUAAGCUAGUUAAUAAUCUAACGAAAAUUCGGCAGCACCUCCCCUAUUUUCCUUACUUCGUCCCAAUCCGACAACAAUCCAAAUUAUCCACAGCAAUACCAAUAACACAUAUAACCCAAAGAAUCAUAUAAACAGCCCAAGCACCAACAUGACACCACUAAUAAUCCGAUUAUGGUUUCCAUUCAUACUUAGCACAUUCAAUAACUAAAACAAACUUCCUAAGCUACUGGUCACGCCCCCUUCUUAAAAUUAAUGGAUAAUUAACAAGGGUAUUCUAAAGAAUUAACACACCAAACAAGGAGAUUACUAACCAAAUUAUUUGCAGCUGCUGGCCAAGAGUUGCAGGGUUGGUUUCUCCAUUUCCAUGGCUGCCUAAGACAAGUGGUGAAGAAGAAGAUGAUAUGCAGCAAUGCAUUUCACCACUUUAUAUAGCAUGGAGUGGAUUUCUCCACCUCAUUUAAUAGUAUGAAGUGGAGGCAGCCCCCCUCUACACCUGUCCACUAAGGCCAACCCACAAUCUGAUCCCUUUUUAAUUUUUGCCUUGAGUGGUGGGGCCCAUUGGAUUAAAUCAAUCCAAAUUAGCCACUAAUUAAUCCCUCACUUAAAGUUAAUGGCACUUACAUUAACCAACUCAUACUUAAUAUCACAUUUGGAAAUAACAUCCUUGCCUAAUAUUUCUUUACGUCUUCUAGAUCACGAUGCGCACUACGUAUAUAAAAAAAAUACGAGGCAUAACAGUUUGUGACAACAGUUGACAACCUUGUGAAAGAGGAGUGUCGUACGGACAUGCUCCAGAAUGAUAUGAGAUUUUAUAGGCUUAUGAUGUAUGCUCAGUCCAUUGAAGAGUCCAAACAUGAUAGGAUUCCUAGGAAUUUAAAUAGGAGUAGGUCCAAUGAUCAAAUCCAACCUAGGUGUAAGAACAGGAGUCCAAGCUGUGACGGACCUAGUGCUCCUUAGGUCAAACAUGUGGAGGGUAGUUGUUCUCAAUAUGAUAAGCCUACUUGUGCAACUUGUGGGAAGAAGCAUUUCAGAAAGUGUCUAGCAAUACUAGUGGAUGUUUUUGUCAUCGUAAGGAUGUUCACAAGGUUAGAGAUUGUAAAACUAUUGCGGCUAAAGAAAGAGCGCGGACAAGUUCCCCCUAAUGCUUCGGAUGGUGGUUCGCAUAAGAGGAAUCGCUUCUAUAAUAAAUUGGUAUUAUAUGGUUUUGUCUCCCAUAUUGUCAUGGUUUCAAAAUAAAUUGCUUAAGUGAUGCAUUAUUGAAUAUUUGAGUAUGUUUCACUGUCAUGUUUGGGUGCUUACUGCAAUGAUUUUGCACCUAAUCAUUUUUUUCAUGGAAAAUGUUUAUGAUGUGUAUAUAAAUGAUGUAUAUCAGAAUGAUUAUGUGUGGAGAAGGAAGUUCCUCCUAUAUGAAAUGAAAAAUGUGAGUCUUAUUGCAUGACAAGUUAUAGAUGUAGUUCCUACCUUCUUGUUGUGUUUUGAGUCUCUUAAUGUUAUGAAAUUGACGUUUCUCCUCUAUGUGUGUAUGGAAUAUUAUGUGGUGUUAUGAUCUUUUAGUCUUGAUUCUUUCUUCUUGAAUGUUCUUAAAGUGUAGCAAGUGUCAUUCGAGGACGAAUGUUGUCCCAGAGGAGAAGAUGGUAACGCCCCUAAAAAUGAGCUAGGUUGAACUAUUGCCUAACCCUUCUGUCAUGAGGUUUUAAAGUUAUAAAAUUGUUAAUAAUAGUGAUAAUAUGUAGUAUAUAAUGUUUGAAGGUGUUUGGAGGUCAAAUAUCCAACAACGUCCAGGACGUCCGAAAACUAGUCGAAGUUGAACUAGUGUGUCGUAUUGUUUUGUAGUGAAGUUUUGGGGGAUCGUUUUGAGGUGAAAUUGAGUAUCUAUUGUUCCUACCCGUAGAAGGACAUGUAAGAGGUCGAGACAUCCGAGAAAGACGCCCCGGGGACCAGCCUAAGGGUCUCCAAGGAGGAACCAAACAAGGGACAGCCAAGCUGCCGUGCCAGCCAAGAUCAGGCACUGGCUGCGCGUUGCGCAGCUGGCUGAAAAAUGGGAAAGAAUCUUGCCCUUCGAUGCGGGGAUGUAAAGAACAAUUCAGUAUCAAAAUUUUCAAGAAACAUGAUUUGAAAAUGCGUCCGCAACGUGCAGUAGACUCCCAGUUUUUGUCGCGUCAUUUCAAGUCAAAUUAGAAUUGGUUAAAUUGUAUAUUUAGUGCAGGGGUCUAUUCCUUCCUUAAUUUUGGGAUUACUUAUUUAUGGUUACUGAGUCUUUUUAUACCUCUAAACUCACCAUUCAAAGCUAAACCUUCAACUCAAAACAAAACCUCUCCAUUCUUCUCUCCAAAACCACCAUUCUUGAUGCUUGGGAGCUCCAAGGAAGAAGAAUGAUUUUCUCAUAUUUCUCCAUCAAUUUUAUGGUCUUUUCAUCACAAUUAAGGUAUGUCUCUUAUUCUUUGAACCCUCUUUUUUAAAGGAGUCAAUUUAACUGAAUUUUUAAAGAUGUUCAAAACAUGAAUCCUUCCAUUUAAGCUUCUAUCCAUUGGUUCUUGGAUGAAACAAUUAAAAACAAUUUUUUAUGCUAUAAUUGAUGUUAAUUUAAUGAUUUUAUAUCAAAUUAUUUAUCAACCCAUGCAAAUAAAGCAAUCUUUAUUUUGACUAUAUUAUGGGUGAUUUGUUCAUGUCUCUAUACUAUUGAAUUCAUGUGUAGAUUACUUUUGGCUAUUGAAUUAUGUUACAAUUAUGUGUAGGCUAUCAUAAACUGAUAAAUUCAUAUAUUUUUACUUUGGGUUCAUUGUAUAUUGAGAUUAUUGGUUUGAAUUCGUGAUCAAGGCUGUGGGUAAGAACCUUUGAAUAAUGAGUUGGUUAAAUGGACUUUGGAUUGAAGUUGUGCGAUUGAAUUGGGGGUAUGUUGACAUAAUUCUUUCUAUAUUGUGAAGUAUGAGUCUAAAACUAUGAUGAAGAUUGUUAUGGUCCACUUAUGGUGGCGGUGCUUAUGUAUUGUACUUUUCAAUUUUGUGGCCUCGUUGGCGUUACUUUAUGAAUUAUGGCAUUAAGAUGUUAUAACUAUAAUAUGUGAGUAUUGUGAAGGUAUUGAUGACUCAUGUAUACAUGUGAAGUUAAAGUAUGUGUUCCUCUAAGUGAUUAAAUGUAAUCUUGAUAGGUUAUAGUGAUGUCGUAUAUAUAUAUAUACUUAAUGUUGAAGUGUGAAUCUUCCAUGUUGGCUAUAUGAAUAUGGAGAUGAGUUAUCUUAAUAAUGCUAUAGAAGUGUGUAGAAUGAGUAGGAAGUAUACUUAGUUGUCCAUAUAUGCUUCAUGUAUGAUAUAGUAUAUGUGAUAAAGUAAAGAUUGAGUGUGUUUUUUUGGUAGACGUAGGUCCCCUACUUGAUACAUCUGACAUGUGAAUAUGUAUCGCUGACUUAGUAGGUUAAAAUACCUUUUGUCACAAAUGUAUAUGUAUGAAUGGAAUAUGAUCUUUAAUGUAGCAAAGAAGGUCAUUUAUGUAGAACCUUUUAUAAAGAAUGUUCUGAUAUCCUUGAACUUGAAAGCUGUAAAAACCCUAGAAAUGACUACGCUAAGUAAUAUUUGACGUAUCUAGAAUGCCUAGAAUAGAGAGGGUUCACACGGAUUGAUGCGCGUAGAACCAAACCUCUAAACCUCUGAAAUAGCCAAGUAUUGGUGAGUUAGUUGAGAAAGAAAAGAUUGGGUCUAUCCAUGUAGGGCACCUGAAUAUGUAGAUAUAUCGGAUGAGUCUUAACCGAACUUAAAAAGGGGUAAUCAUAAGUUUUAAGGGUCUAGGGGUAAAAUGGUCUUUUUUUCUGUCUAAGGGAGGUAUUGUAAUUACCCCAAAUAUUUAAUUUAUUAAUUAAUUAAUAUGGUGGAGGGGCAAUUUGGGUAGAAAGGGCCGAAAUUGACCCUUUGAGUGAAAUCUUGCUUCACCCGGGUUUGAACCUAGGUGGGAGCAAUGAUUUAAUUUGAUUUAUUUUAUUUUAUGAAUUAAUUCAAUUAAUUAAUAUUUAUUUUCUGAUUUAAUUAAAGGAAAAUCAGAUUUUAAAUAAAAUAAUAAUAAUAAUAAUAAUAAUAAUAAAUAAUGUGGAGUCCUACUUUGACUAAGUUUUCACCUAACUAUCCUAAUCUUUAUCCUCUCAUACUCACAUCACUCACUCUCAUUCUCACGAUUUUCAUCAGCAAAAGAACUGAAAAUAAUAGGUCUUCACACUUGAAGAACUUACACACAAAAACUCAAAUGAAAAGCUAAGCUAAAAACGUAAACCAACCACAUUCAUCUCCAUUGAUUGGGUUAUGGAUUUUAGUAGCGAGGCAGUGGUGUUGUGCGAAUAGGUAGCAUUGAAACAAGUGUUAAACUACAUUAUGGUAUAAGUUUUGUUCUCUCUUGUCCCCUUUCCCAAGAUACCCGUAAGGUUCAGUUUAAUCGCAAUUGAAAAACUAAGGUUGUCCCCGUUGAAUACCCCUGUCAUUAGAUCCCUUGAAAGAUUCAAAGCAUGUGUUGGUAUGUUUUAUGGUAGGUAAUUUUAGGUGUGGUUGUGAUUAUGUACUGAAUGUGCAUUUAGAAAUUAUGUAAGGAAUGAAAGAUGUAUUCCAGAAAAGUGUUUUACGUUAAUUGUUUAAGCAUGGGUGUGCUGUAAAUUAACUAUGUUGCUGCCUGAAACUUCUGUGUUUUAAUGGUUGUGUUUUUGUAUAUGUAAAUGUUAAAAGUGUCAUGUUUAUAUAAGGGUAAUUUUUCUGAAAAAAAGGUCACCCAAAUUACUCAAAGAAUCAACAUAAAAACAUGAGAGAAAGAUGGAUUGAAAGAGACCAAAUUUCCAGCUUGCUGGAAAUGUUGGUCUCGGCCAAAAAUUUGAAAAGUGAGCUUUGUUUUAAAAUUUAUUAAAAAUUGUGAGGUCAUUGGGAAUUGAAACAAGACCUCACCAAAUGAAAAUUGCAUAAAAAUUUCAUGAGAAAAACGAAAGAAAAAAUAAAUGUGGUAAAUAGGGAGUGAACCCACAACCUCUUUAAUAGAUGAGAGAGUUAGCAAAAAAAUAGAGGAGAAAAAUAAAUGUGGUGAGUUGGGAUUGAACCCACAACCUCUUUAAUAGACGAGAGAGUUAGGAGAAAAUAAAGGAGAAAAAUAAAUGUGGUGAGCAGGGAUUGAACCCACAACCUCUUGAAUAGCUGAGAGAGUUUGGAGAAAAAUAAAGGAGAAAAUAAAUAAAUGUGGUGAGUGGGGAUUGAACCAACAACCUCUUGCAUAGGUGAGAAAGUUAAGAUAUAAAUUAAGAGAAAAAGAAUGAGUUUGUGGGUGAUUGAUCCGACAACCUCCUUGCCUUAAGCGAAAAAAGAGAAGAGCAAAAGAAAUGAAAUAGUAUGGGAGUGAUGGAGAUGGAACUAGGGUCCCCCAAAACUGAAAAAUUAAAUAACCAAAUUUAGUAUAAGAAUAAGUGUAGCUUAAGGGAUUCGAAAUAGGGUUCCCUUGCCCAAUUUCCUAUUAAUACAUAAGUCAUGCAUGAACAAAUAUUUAAUGAAUGUUGCCUCAAAUGAUCGAAAUCAAUAUCUUGGCAUAUCUACAAGAUGCAUAUGUCUUGUACCACAUAAUUUUGGGUUAAUAUGAAUUACAUAGAAAAACAACAAAUGAAGCCUUAUGGCUUGUAUAUGUGGACUCAUAGGUCUAACAUACGUAUAAAAGUAUGUGAACCUAAGAUGUUAUGUGAUGAGAUAAUGAAACCCCAGAGGGGUUAAGUAAGAGUGUGACACACAUUAAAGGGGCAAGUGCAUUGAUAUACAAUGAAAUGAACAUUCACGUGAAGCGGUGAGUAAUUGUGUAAAGUUAAUGUGCUAAAGUUAAAAAAUGUGGUGACAACAUGAUAAGUGGCUAAAGCGAAAGGUGAGAGGGAUCUGAAAUGAGUCUAAGUAAAUGUUACUUAGACGUACUCACCUGUGAGAGUGUAAAGUUAAUGAAAAGACCUGUCUCUAUGAAAAUUAUAAUGAAAGUAUUGAAGUUAAUGCAUACUUAAUACUAAUGAUGAGAUGAGAAAUCAUCUAAUGAGAUAUGAUGCUCUCAUGCUAAAAUUCAGCUUUUAUGAUGUAUGAGAUGAAUGCAAUGGAACUUUAUACUAAGCACCGAUAGGCUAGCUAUGAGUUGCGAUUACUUCUUUCGGGAAGGCAGAGGUUCGUGUAAUUCUCAUGAGAUGAGACUGUUCGUCCAGACAGAUAUGGAUCUCCUUAUAUCUCCUAGUAUUUGAAUCUAUACUGCCAAUAUAGGGUUCUAGCAGGGUUCGAUACCUUAUAUAUGCUAGCAUGUUUUGGUUCACUUUGGCAGGUGAUUGUUCUUUUCGCUGUGGGGUUAAACACUGGAUUUCUUAGUGCUCACAUGAUCUAUGGCGUUAAGGUUAAAGUUUCCAAAGGAAGAAUAAGGCCAGCCUCAAGUAAUGCACAUAAUGAAAUGAACGAUAACAAAGGUGUUAGGAUAUGAUAAUCAAGAGGUGAUCUAGACAUAAGUAAUGACACUAGGUCAUUCCUGGUCAUAGCACAGCGAACCCGAUGUAAGUCUUAAACUACAUCCUAGGUAUGGCUGGUGUUUACACUAGCUUACAAAUGAAUGAAAAUGAAGUACAUAUGAAUGAAUGAAGUAGACUUUGUGUUUGCUAAAGAGGGCUACGUUUUUGAUGUCGCAUAUGUUGAGCCCUUAUUUUGGGAAGUUCUAAUGUCAAGUCCAUGAUUCCAAUGUCUCAUGGCAUAUGAACGAAUGAAAUUAAAUAUGAUAUGUGCUAUAUGCUCAUGUUUUGUGUGCAAUGUGAUACAUAUGAUGAUGCAUGUUACUCUUAUUGCAUGUCUUUCAUAUUUCAAUUUUCGCAAGUCCACUGACUUGACUUUGCAUAACUCAUAUCGUUAGGAGAGAUCUUUUCUAAAUCAUGCAUGUCUGUGGUGUGUGCUUGCAUAUACCCAUUCUUAGUACAAAUGUGUACUAAUCUCAUACAACUCUCUACUUUUAGGUGCAGGUGCAGUUGGAUGCUAGAGCUUACAAGUCGACACUGAAGUCAUCCGGACGUGGAGCUUUCAUACGGAUUUGGUAGGCUCUCAUGCUUUAGAGGAUUCUAACUAUUUUAAUCUAGCAUUAGAUAUAGGCAUUAGCUAGUGGAGUAUGUUCCACUAGUGUUUAUUUCCCAGUUAUUUCAUGUAACAACCCUAAAAACGGUUAUGCUAAGAAACGUUUAAUGUGUCUAGAAUACCUAUGAUUAGACCGGGUUCACACGGAUUGAUGCGCAUAGAACCAGACCUAUGAACGCUUGCGACAGCCAAGCCAACUAACUUGGGGAGUUAGUUAAGCUAGGAAUGGUUGGGUCUGGCCAUGUAGGGCUGCCAAAUAUGAAGAUUUACCCGAAUGAGUCUUUACCGGACUUAAAAAGGGGAAAUCCUAAGUUUGGAGCAUCUAGGGGUAAAAUGGUCUUUUUCCUAGAUAAGGGUAGUAUCAUAAUUACCAUAAAUAUGUAAUUAAUAAUUUUAUUAAUAAAUUGGAGGUUCAUUUUGGGUAGAGAGGGCCGGAAUUGCCCUUUUAGAAAAAUCUUGCUUCACUUGGGUUCGAAGCUAGGUGGGAGCAAUGAUUUAAUUUGUUUUAUUUAAAUUGUUAUAUUAAUUUAAUAAAUUAAUAAUUAAUUUUUUAUUUAAAAAAAGGGAAAAUCAGAUUUUAUUUAUUAAUUAUUAAAUAAUUUGACUAAGUCUUGCCAUCAAGUCCUAGUUCUAAAUGGACACUACCUCACACUUCUCUCUUUCACACCUAUCUAUCUAUCUCUCACGUCCGCCUCUCUCUCAACUUCACAUCUUCUCUAUACUUUACAAAAAAAAGUUCUUCACACUUGAAGGCCUUACUAAAAUACAAACGAACAAGCUAAUCUAUGAAACGAAAAGUUAAAAAUUUUUCUAGUCGGGUAAGGUGUAAGAUUUGUUGGUGAACGUAAAUUGGUGGUGGGUUUUGGGAAGCAAGUUCAAGUGUUGAAUAAAGUUAAAAUCAGGUAAGGGUUUCUCUCCUGGACUCCUUUCUCCAAUAGAAUAUUCUUUCCCAUGAAUUCAACGAAUCUUGAAGCUAGGGUUGUUCCCAUUCUCAUCGAUCUCCUUGUCCCUAGUAUCCCUUUGAUCUCAAUGUGAAAUAGGUUAGAGAUCAUGUUGUUAGUAUAUUUUCUGGUAGUUUAAGUAUGAAAUGUGAUUUUCGUAAUAAUGUGUUUGGAAUUGUAAGCAUGUUAAGUUUUGUCAACCAAAUGUUUGUGAAAAAUGAUAUGUUUUUAUGGUUGAAUUUUAUGUGCGAAUGUUUGUGUAAAUCAUGAGGCGUAAAAGUGGUGUAAUGUUGCUGGAUGUAAUGAUAAUUCUUGGCUUAAUAUAACCAUAAACAGAUUACACUUAAAGAUGCAGCAAAUGAUCUAUGAAAUGCCUUAAGAAUUAACGUAUGAAUGAUGAUAAAAAGAAGCUGCAUGUAGUGAACGAAUUUCCAGCAUUUGGUAGUUUGGGUUCGGCCAAUCAAACUGCUAUAAAAUACAAUGAAAAAAAGAAUGUAAAAUAAGUGAAAUUACUUAGGAUUGAACCCAAGACAUCAUUACAUGAAAGCAACAAAAAAGGUCAACAAAAGAUUAAGACAAAAAUGGAUUGGAGGAGACUAAAAUUUCAGCUUGCUGGAAAUUGUAGUCUCCGCCAACUCUUAAAAAAAUGAACUUCGUUUAAAAAAAUUUAAAAUGUGAGUUCAUUGGGGAUUUAACACAUGACCUCACCAAAUGAAAUUUUUUUCAUUAAAAAUUUGUGAGAAAAAUGUAGGGAAAAACAUAUGUGGUGAGUGGGGAUCGAACCCACAACCUCUUGCAUGGAUGAGAGAGUUAGAAGAAAAAUAAAUGUGAAAAUAAAUGUAGAGAGUGGGGAUUGAACCCACAACCUCUUGAAUAUUUGAAAAAGUUCAGAGAUAAAUUAAAUGAAAAAUAAUUAGCUUGUGGGGGAUUGAAUCCACAACCUCCUUGACCUAAACAAAAAAAAGAGGGGAGAAAAAGAAAGGAAAUAUUAUGGGGUUGAUGGGCAUCGAACAUGGGUCUCCCAAAUAUGAAAAUUGCAAUUAUCAAGUUUAAAAUAAGAUUAAGUGUUGUUCAAGGGAUUCAAAAUUUGGUUCCCUUUCCCAAUACCUUAUUGACACAUAAGUCAUACGUGAGUAAAUAUUUAAAACCUGCCUCUAGUGAUCGAAAUCAAUAUCAUAGCAUAUAUACAAGAUGCAUAAGUCUUGUACCACAUAAUCUUGGGUAAACAUGAAUCACUUAGACAAACUAUGAAUGCAGCCUCAUGGCUUGUAUUUGUGGACUAACAAGUCUAGCAUACGUUUAAUAGUAGGAAUGAAGCCCAUGAGAAAACUAAAUUCAUAACUUCAAUUUCGUAAUUGAAUGAAACCCAUAAGAAAACUUAACUUUUGAAUUUUUUUUGAAGGAACCCUUUAAAGAAAGAGUGUCAAUGGUUAAUUAGACCCCAUACCUUAACGUUUGAGACAAUUUGAUGGUGAAUUGGUCCCUUUCCAUCCCACAAACCCUAAUCCCUGCUAGUCUUCAAUGGUGAGCUCAAGUAGAUAGAGAAAUAAGAGAGAAGGAAGAAUUAAUUUGUGAGUUGUCUUUAGAUUAAUGAGGGUUGGGAGUAUUUAUAUUUGGUCUUAAACUUAGUUAGAAUCCCUUAUACCCUUAUUAGGCCACUAAGCCCCUAUAUAAUUUAAUGUGAAAAACAAAAAUUAGGUAGAGAACUCGACCCUCGCAGAUGAGACCCCGAUUGACGGGCCGUCUGUGAGUCGACGAUCCCUCACCCCUUCGUCCUGCACCCCAUCAAUGAGUUCAUAGACUGUGCAGGAGAGGGGCUUCCAUUCAUUGUCUAAGUGUGGGACGACAGUGACAUAGACGCCCCAUCGAUCCACACAUGGACCGUAGCCUGCACCUUACACCUCGUCGAUGAGUUCAGAGGUUUUGAGGGUGAAGAGACCUUGUCAACAAGCCUAACCAUGAGAUCAUGCUGGCAUCGACACCCCGUUGAUCCACACACAGGACAUCUUCUGUCCAGUCGAUGCACACUGCCAGGCAAUGUUGCAUCAAACUAAAAGGGUCCUCCUAAAGGACCCUUGGUUGGUCCUUGGGGAAUCAUACCCAAACGUUUUAACCAUGAAACAACUCAAACAACAAUUAGCUACCUUUCCACCAAUUUUUCAUACAUUUCUGACUCCUAAAAGUUAGUUAGAUAGGCUAAGGCACACUAACACCCUUUGAACCAACUUCCCGGACGUCAUGGGAGUUUGGACGUUUUUGGUUCUUAAACCUCUUGAAUGACCUAUUUUAAUUAAUAAUGGACGUAGAAACAGUAAUUAGACCUUAUGACACUUAUGACAAGCUUUAUAAUGUUCCUUGGAUUUUCCAGGUGUUACAUUAUCCCCCUUAGGAACAUUCAUCCCUGAAUGACACCAAAACUCCUUUGAAGGAAGGAAUAGACUCAAGACUAGCAGCCCAACCAAUCAAUAAUAUCAUAUCAACAUAAAUCAUGUCAUUUCCACAAGGAAAAUAUCAAAACUCGUAUCACCAUAUAUAAGGCUAAAACACAUCAUCAUGAGGCAUUUCCUUCUCUCAACACCUAUGAGCUCAACAUACAUUACAUGAGUCAAUUAGCACAAAGUUCAACUUAACAAUAAGCUACAUAUCAAUUCAUAAGGACUCACCAUUAGCAAAAUGCACAACAUAACUCAAAAUAAGCAAAAAGAAAAAUUUCAAGUGUUUUUUAAAAAGAAAUACUACAGUGACUUGUUUUUCAAAAACGUAUAAUGUGCAAAACUUCACCCAAAAAACAAGAAACCUUAACUUGUAGUCAUAUUUAUAUUAUUAAAAAGAAUGACUAACCUUAAUUCUCAAAAAGAUGAGUCUAACGAAAAUUCAUGUCGGCCUCGGCCUCCUAUGUUUCACCCUCGACUAGAUGUAUCUCCCAUAACACCUUUAUGGAAGCCACUUCUUCAUUCCUCAACUUCUUGACUUGCCUGUCAAUAAUUUGAACCGGAACUUCCUUAUAAGAGAGGUUAUCCUUGACACCAAGACCCUCAAUAGGAAGAUGGACUUGAGAUCACUAAUAGAAUUUUUAAACAUAGAAACAUAGAAAACAGUUGAACCAAGAAAACUCAAUAGGACGUUUCAAAUCAUAGGAAACCUUACCAACCCUUUGCAAGAUUAAAUAGAGAACCACAUAACGAGGACUUAACUUCCCGUUCUUGCCAAAUCUAACCACCCCUUUUAUUGGUGAAAUUUUAAAAUACAUCUUAUAACCUUCUUCAAACUCCAAAUACCUUUUUCUAUGAUCGACAUAAGACUUUUGCCGACUAUAGGUCGUUUGCAAUCGGUUCCUUAUGAUAUGAACCUUAUCCAAAGUCUUAUAAAUCAACUCUAGAAAAGAAACGAUCGGUCACCCACUUAAAACCAUCAAUAGGAGACCUAUACCUCCUACCAUACAAGGCUUCAUAAAAAGUCAUGGAAAUGGAUGAAUGAAAUCUAUUAUUAUAGGCAAACUCCACCAAAGGUAAAUGUUUAUUCCAAUUCCCUUCAAAAUCAAUAAUGCACAUCUAAGAGUAUGUUCAAGAGUUUGUAUCGUGUGCUCUGCUUGACCAUCCGUUUGGGGAUGUAAAGCGAUUCUCAACUUCACUAUAGUACCCAACCCUUUUUUGAACGACUUCAAAAAUCUGGAUGUGAAUUGUGCACCCCGAUCCUAUAUGAUGGAUAGAAAAAUGCCAUGGCGGCACACAAUCUCAUCUACGAAGAUUCUUGCAUAAUCCUCCACCGAAUACGUAGAAUUUACGGUAAUAAAGCGAGAGAACUUAGCCAAUCGAUCCAUAACAAACCAAAUGGAAUCAUAUGACUUUUUAGUCCGAGGUAAACCUACUACAAAGUCCAUAUUUAUGUAUUCCAACUUCAAAGUAGGAAUUUGGAUCUCUUGUGGUAAUCCACCCGACUUUAGGUUUUCGGUCUUCACUUGUUGGCAAUUCAGACACUUAGCGAUAAUCUUUGCUAUGUCCCUUUUUAGACCUUUCCACCAAUAUAACUCCCUUAGUUCAUGGUAUAUUUUUGUCGAUCCCUAAUGAAUCGAGUGGCGGGACCCAUGUUCUUCUUCUAGGAUCCGAUUACUCAAUCAAUCUACAUCAGGAACACAUAAUCUCCCUUGGUACCUUAACAAACCAUCCCCCCCCAAGGAGAAUGAUUCAUUCAACUUGCCGAUAACUGAAUCUUUCAACUCCAUUAACGCUGGACAAAGGUGUUGUUUGGACUUCACCUCAACAACUAAAGAUGAAUCAGAGUUAUGAUGAAAUAUAGCACCCCCAUCCGGAGAACUAUCAAGCCUCACCGCCAACCUAGUCAACCUAUUUACUUCCCUUGCUAGGUCAUACGACUUAGGGAAUCAGCAACUACAUUAGCCUGGCCGAAUUGAUAAUGGACAUUCAUAUCAUUAUUUUUCUACAACUCUUGUCACCUUCUUUGUCGGAGAUUCAACUCUUUUAAUUAAUCACAUAUUGGAGACUCUUAUGAGCGGUAAAGAUACAAGUAAUGCCUCCAAAUUUUCAAAGAAAACUGUCACGACCCAACCCGAUGGGCCGUGACUAGUGCCCGUUUUGGACACCCACAUACAAACCUGCUAAGUAUAACCAACUGAAACUAAGAAAAUACGGAAUUUAAUCAAAUCAAGCCAACCCCAACGUCAUAUAUAUAUAUAUAAAGAGGACCUGUCUCACAAGGAGUCAUAACCAUUAAACCGUAACAACAUACGCGAGCCAACAAGGCCGCCACUAUUCAAAGCAUAAUAAUAUACGUAAGCCGACAAGGCUGCCACUACACAAUACACAAUGAUGUACGCAGCCGACAAGGCUGCCCCUGUACAAGCGGACAUCCUAAACAAACCAUGUCCAGACCAUUACCCAAAACAUAUAUAUACAACCCACAUAAUGUCCAUAGACCUCUAAGAGUACAUUAGUGAAACUCGACGGGACAGGGCCCCGCCAUACCCAUAGACGAGCAAAAGACUACACAAAAGUUAUGUACCAAAAUGACUAGGCUCCGGAACAGUGGAGCUCUCCCAAUCAGCAGAGUAGAUAUUCUAGGCGGAAGGAUCACCAAACUGUGCGUCUACACCUGCGGGCAUGAAACGCAGCCCCCCAAAGAAAGGGGGUCAGUACGGACAAUGUACUGAGUAUGUAAAGCAUAAGGUAAAGAUGACAGGAUACCAAUAUGGCAAGUCGAAACAAAAUAUCGCUACACAUGUACCCUUUUAACUGAAAAUCAUGCAUGUCUUUAACAUAUAAGGUGCCCAGCUUCCCUAGUAAGGGGCUUGGCAAAAUAAUCAUCACGUCAUCUCCGUCAUCAUCAUCAUCAUCAUAACCAUCCUCAUCACCAAUCAUAUAUAUAAUAUACAUACCCGGCCCUCUAGUGAGGAACUCGGUGACAUAUGCAAGAAACUCCGCACGAACAUUACCCGGCCCGGGACUCGGUGAAAUGAUAAAUGACUCUAUGCACGAGCAGAAUAUUAUGAGCAACCAUAUGCAAUUAAAAUCAUUUCCUAUAACUCAAUAGAACAAAUCAGCAUGAACCAGCAAGGAGUAUUACCAAAGAUUAAUGUUUUAUCAUGAUUAUGAACCUUUAAUACGAUAUGGAAACGUAAAAUCUCAAUGACUCUAAGAAGCACUACCAUAGAUAUGAGAGAUCAUCAUAGCCUUAGACAUAGCCGAUAUAUAGAGGAAUAAUUAUGGAAGCAAGAAUAUACGUCACCUAGACGCUCUAGAGGUAAGUAUCAAACCUGUCCGUUAUUCGCUUAUUUUUAAGAGUCAUGCCAAACAAAGAAAGAAGGGACAGCGUUACAUACCGUAUAAUUGAGCCGCACGUCCAAUAUUUACUGCUCAAGCUAUUAAUCUAUAACAAGCAACAAUCGUGCCGCAAUUAGAUAAACAUCGCGCUUUACUUUCUUGUAAGCUAGCUAAUAAUCUAACGAAAAUUCGGCAGCACUUCCCCUAUUUUCCUUACUUCGUCCCAAUCCGACAACAACCCAAAU